UAUAGUGUUGUUCCAGAUAUUAUACAAUAUUAUUUUAUAUAUUAUUAAUAUAUUGACAAAUUUAUAAAAUAUUUUAAAUAGCUUGUAUAGUUUGAUUACAGUUGUCCACAUUAUAGUACUAAAAUAUUAACAAUAUAGUAAAAAAAAAAUUCAAAAUAUUUCCCGAAAAGAGUAUAUAAAGGUUUUGCAUUGUUUAAACUAGCUAGUUUUCUAUCUUCUGAUAUUUAAUUAUAGUAAUACCAAACAAUUAAAAAAAAAAAAGUAUCUGAGUUUGAGCCUCAGAAUUAUUUUUUUUCUUUGCUUAAUAGUAGAAGUUUCGGAUAUUUUUAUCAUAACUGUAGCCAGAGCUCGUACAGUUUUAAAUUUGAACAAGUUAACUGAAGUACCCAAUUGAAAGGAUAAAACUUCAGCGGAAAGCUUCUUAAUAAAGCCUCAUUGUUAUUUCCAUCCAUAGUUUACAAUCCUUUUCUCUAAUUUUAAAAAUUCUUUUUUGGUUUUAGUAUUAAAAAAAUAAUCAACGAAACUUUGGAUGGAGGCAAAACUGACACGUGGCAGUAGAUCGGUCCCCGAGCCGUCGCCAUGUGUUAAUUUUGCUUCCAUCUAAUGGUUCGUUGGAUGUAUUUUAAUACUACAAUUUGAAAAAUAAAAUUAACCUCUAGAGUUAGCUAGCAAAGGGUUACAACCUUUGAAAGAAAAUAAAAAAAUGGUACGUGAUGAUGAAUUAGGAUUCUUUAAUAAAACAUCGUAGGAAGCUCUCCAUUGAAGUUUUUUUUUUUUUUUUUUUUUUUUUUUUUUUUUUUUUCAAUUGGAAGGGAAGGGGUUAUAGUGGAAAACUACUCUUAAAAUUUACCUUAUUAAAGUAAACCUAGUAUUAAGAAGUAAAGAAAACGGUCCCCUAAUAAGAAAUGAGAAGGUUUUAGACUUUCCGUAGAACACAUAAAACUUCCACCCUUUAUUUGCCCUCUUGCCCCGUUUGAAUGGUGAAAAUUUCGCCGUUUCCAACAAAAGAAAAAAAUAAAUAAAGCAAUACUUUUUGAAGUAUUAUAAAUUGAGAAAAUGAAGAACGUCAAGUACAUGCUUUGGAUUCCUCACAAAUAGUCUGUGAUGGGAUGUAUUGUGUGUUGACAAGCAUAGAUUGUAUCUUAGACUUUAAAUAUGAAUUAAUUAGAUCACAUCAUAUUUUAUAUGUCGUUUAACUAAUAUGACCGCAUCAUAUUAUAUGAGGUUAAUUAAUUCGUUUAAUAUCCUGUUCAAAAAGUGCAAUUUCAUAAAUUUUCCUGCAAAGUUGAAAAUAUCAUUUAUGCCUUUUUAUAUAUAAACAAUUUAGCCAUUGUUUGGUUGGGGGUUAAGGGAUGGAAUAACCCCUUAACCCCCAUUUUAUCCCCAAACACUCCAAAAAAUAGGUGGGGUUAGCUAACCCCACCUAACCUCACCUCAAAUAAAUUAUCCUGGAUUAGUUAACCCCACCUAACCCCACCAAACUCCAACCAAACAUUAUUUUUUAUUCAUAAUAACCCACUAUCUUUCUUAUCACACCUACUCCAACCAAUCAUUAUCCUUCUUUAUCAAUCAUUAUCUUUUUAUCCCACCCACCCAACCAAACACUAUUUUUCAUUAUUCUAGUCUAACUCCAACCCCCAACCAAACACAAAACAACUUUAACCCCACUUUAACUCUGAACUUAACUCUAUCCCUGGAAUAGCUACUUUUUCCUUAACCCCGAACCAAACGGAGGCUUAGGGUUUAGACUAAGGAUUUGGAAUUUAGAGAGAUAUUUAUGGUAGUUUUAUAUAGUUAGGGAAUAUCGAUAUUGGUAAAAGUUUUUAUAUUUAAAGAGGUAUCUAUAAUAUUUUAGAGUUUUAUAGAAUUAGAUUUAAAAUUGCCCCUACUAUAUAUUUUGGACUGUAUAAAAGAGCAUCAUUUUAGGAAUUGACUGAAUCUCUUGCGGCUAGUAGAGGUUGUUUAGAUACGGAGAACUUGAAGGGCAAGAAACUUGCGAGUUUCGUGAACUUAAACUUCGUGUCCGAUUGGCAGAAUUUGAAAAAUAAUUUUCAUUAAAUUUUGAUUGAGAAAUCCAAUAAUCUCACGGCUUCCACACCAAAACAAAUGCUAAUAGUUAGCUCAUCAUUUUAGAAAAAAUUAUUUUUACACAUCAAAAGAGAUGCACAUCUUACAUCCCAUUAAUUAAAUGAGUGAAAUAUUUUUAUUAGUCACAUCAAGUCAUUAGUGUAUGACUCUUAUCUAUUAAAUGGGUGGGAUAUAUACCAUGAAUUUUUUUUGGAGUGUACGCAUGGUAUUGCUUUAUAAUUUUAGCAACUCGACAAGAUGACAAAAUUAUUAGGCAGAUAAAUUUAAUGAUGACACAUAAAUUGGCAUCUUCUGCGAGUAUUAAUCACCAUAAUUAUUCUCCAAUGGAAAGUCAAAGAUGGUUGCAUCAAUUAACCAAACACGACCUGCGACUUAUAAGAACUUCGAUUUUUCUUUUUUUUCUUUUUCUUUUUUUUUUUUUUUUUUUUCGCUUUGAGGUCUAUGUAUAUUUUUAGGUUUUUAUCUUCUAGAAAUAAGGUCCUGUUGUGUCUCCAGUCAAAUAUUUUGUUCUCUUACUUUGGCCAUCAAAGAUGACUUCUAAUUCAACAAAUCCACGUGAAAUUAUAUGUUGAGAGACUCCUAUUACUCAGACUACAAAUGCUUCUGCUUGUAAAAAGCUUGAGGUUUAGCACAGCUUUUUUGCAUGUGUUUUUAGCAGUAGUAGUGGCUUUUUAUGCAAUGGAAAAGUGUUUAAUUAAAUAUUAAUUAAAAUUCUCCGUUUAUUUAGGCUUGGUCUGAUAGAAAGUAUAAAUGAUAAUUAAGUUUUCUGUACAACAAUAGUUAAGUAUUGAAAUUAUUCGUACGACAAUUGUUGCGUAUGUUAGUGGUUAAGUGCUCCUAAUUUCUCCUAAAGCAUUGUUUGAAUGGAGGAUUAUGUGGAAAUCAUGUAAGACUAGCGUAGUAAUCCAUACGAUGCGACGGAUAGAUAAUUAGAGAAAAUAUAGAAAACAUUAAUUAAAAAGAAAAGAAAAAAAAAACAACGAUAAAAAAAGCAAGGGAUGGGAUUCAUUUUGCCGUUGAACGAAAAUAACAGCUGAAGGAAGAGGAGGAUCGAGGAAGGACUUUAGCUGGUUCGGGUGGAGCAUACACUCAAAAAUGAAGAAAAAGUUGCCAUAUGACAACUUUAGAAUAAAUAAAUAAAUAAAAUAAAAUUAUAUAUAUAUAUAUAUAUAUAUAUANUAAUGCAAGUUGGCUGAAUAAUAAAUGAUAUGAAUCAAUUGGUCUGGUUUGGUCUAAUAAAGCAGACUGGUUCAAGUAAAGAAAGAGGGCACCGGUUUGGUUCAGGGAAACAAAAAACAGGGAACAUGAGCCGGUUUAGUGUAGAGGCCUCACUCAAUCAUGUUAGGUUCAAGCAAAAAAAGAUAAAAUUAUUUGCAGGACUUGAGCCAGUUCAGGAUGGAACUCAUACUCAACAAUUCGGUUCAGUUCAACUAAAGGAAAAGAACCAGUGGAGCCCACACCCAACAACAUUGAAGCUUGUGUUGCCAUGUGGCAAAUUUUUUGAGAAAUAAUGUUAAGUAAUAGAUAAUAGAUAAUAGAUAAUAGAUAGAUAAUAGAUAAUAGAUAAUAGAUAAUAGAUAAUAGAUAUUCUUAUUACGAAACAUAAGUAAAUUAGGUCCUCUUCCUGAGGGGGAGGGGGGGGAGGGUUAAAAAAUUCACUGAUUUUAUAUUUUUAUAAAAUUGGACCGUACUUUUUAAAUUUGCAUAUUAGAAAUGAAUUUUAAACAAGUGACCAAAAGGUCAAUUUGCAAAUUACAAUUUGUAUGUACUUUUUGUUUAAAAGCCAUGCUUUUAUCCAAUAAAAAAAUUAAAGAGUAAAAGAUAAUAAAUAAAAUUAAAAUAAUACAAUUACCUCUCAAAUAGUGCGAUACAAAUAUAAUAUCGUGCAACACUAAUACAAAACAAAUUUUAACGUUUUAAUGUUUUAACGUUUAGAUGAGCAAAAUUAAAAUAAUAUUGCACCUUUUAAUGUUUGAAAAUUUUAACAUUUCAAAUUUUUAUUAAAAAUGAUCCAAAUAUUGCACCUUUAACCGAAUGUUGUACAAUUUCAGUAUAUGUUGCACAAAUUUGAAAAUAUUGUUGUACAAUUUUAGAAUUAAAAAUGUCAAGUUAUAAUUAUAUAAACUUUUUUUUUCGAGAGACGAGAAUUCUUAUUAAGCACAAAAAUAAAAAAAUAAAUAUAAUCAACAAAGAAGAAUAGUGUAAUAUGGUCUAUACUUUUGCAAUAUAUUCUCAAAUCUCAUUAUUUUUAUUAAUAGUGCAACAUGUUUUUAAAAAUUAUAGUAUGUGAAGGUCUCCAUAAGCACCCGUUUUCUAUACAUGAAGGCAUCGACAAGCGUACCCUACCUACAUUUAUAAGUAGAAGGGUAUUUUGGUUGGGUUAAAAAAAAUAUUGGUCGAAUUAGUAAAAAUAAAAAAAUGGCCUAUUUUUACAAAAUUGCAAAACUAAGAGAUUUUUUGUACAAUAUGGCCAAAAAAGCUUUAAUUUGUCCAGAUAAAUUUGUUUGGGUAUAGAACCCUAAAUUGUCCAUUUGAGAUUGUAGGAUCUGUCACCACAUAGGCACCUGAUCUCACAUCUCAAGAUUUCCUAUUUAAUUAGAACGGAUGUUGAUAUUGGACUCUCUUCAACACUUAGUGGGUCCACACAUUUUUGGACCAAUAAUAAAAAAAAAUUAAUAUAUAUAUUAAGAAGAUUACAAGAAAAACUUGAAAUAGCUUUUUUAUAAUUUUUAGUUUAUGAACUUAAUUUCAAAUUAUUUUUUAAAUUUUUAAUUUUCAAAUAAAAUGGCUUUUUUUGGAUAAACCAAACAAGGGUUUAGACAACCUUGGUGGGUUUUUAGUAUUAAUAUAAAGUAAAUUUGUCCAAAUAAAAUAAUUAAUAAUCUAAAAAAUGAUAAACUUAAAGAGUUUGAAAAUUAAUUUGACAUUAAAUUCAGAAACUAAAAAUUUAUUUAAGAAACUAUUUUAUUUUUUUUUAUUUUUUUCUUGUAUUUUUGUAGUAUGUACUUGAUUUUGCCUUAAGAUGUGGGAUUCGUCACCCUUGCGGCAACAUAUUUUCUAAUCCUCAAAUGGAUAAUUUGGAGUUCCAUCCCCAAACAAUUUUGGUCCAAUUUGUCCCUUUUGUGGUUUACCACACUAUUACUUUGUCGUCUUGUAAUUCAAAAAUUAUAUUUAACUACUCUAUAAUUUUUUUUAAAAAAAAUACUAUUAGAAUCUAUUGUUAAACAUAAUAAUAGUAAAGCAACAAAUUUGGUUAAUCAUAGGACAGUACAAUAUAAAAUGUUAUCAAUUUAUAAUUUAUAUUUUAUCAUCUUGUGCUUUGUAAAAAAAUGUACUUUCUUCUAUUUAAUGAGAGAUGCUUACUAUGUAAUUUUUGAACUAUAGAAUGACAAAAUUUGUUGCUUUACUACGAUAAACUUCAAUAUGCCUCUUUUUAGUCUAUCACGGUUUUAUUUUAUCAUCUUGUGCUUUGUAAAAAAAUGUACUUUCUUCUAUUUAAUGAGAGAUGCUUACUAUGUAAUUUUUGAACUAUAGAAUGACAAAAUAAAACCGUGAUAGACUAAAAAGAGGCAUAUUGAAGUUUAUCAAAAAAAAAAAAAAAUAUUUAGGUGGAGUAGAAUUAAUUAUAAUAUUUGUUGUAUUCAAUACUCAAAACACUCCUGUAAAUAUAAACAUUGUCUUUAAAAAUACAAUAAAAAUACUCAAAUACUAUAAUAUUACAGAGUUUCCAAACAGGCCCUUAUGGUUCAGUUUGGUUUGCUGGUGCAUCAUAAUUUUUGCUCAGCACUAAUUGGGUAUUAAAUGUGUUGGCCCAAAACUGGGCUCAAUUGGCCCAAUUCAACACUUUUUGAAUCUUUUUAUUGUUGUUUAGGCAAAUAUGCAUUGAGACACUCAAGACUAUAUGAAAACUAAAAGAGGUACCUCAACUUUGAACUUUUUUUUUUUCAUUGACACUACUCAAACUUUUUGUUUGUUUAAGUUAAGUUCUUCUAGUGAGUUAAGUUAAAAAAGACUCAUUAAAAUUAAUAGCUCUAUUAAUUCUUGGGUGUUAAACUUUUAACUUGCUAAAAUUUGAUUAAAGCCACUAAAUUUGAUGGAGUUGAUAAAUAUAUUUUAAGAUCAAAAUGUAAUAUGACAGACGUUGUUUAGACCUUGUAACGAUUAAAGAUUAACUUUUGUGUAAAGUAAGCAUAGCAUUUUGAAAAUCUAUUAUUACCUAGGGAUCAAAUAGAAAAUCAACAGUUAAAAAAUAUUCAUUAUUUGAUUUAUAGAAUUCGAUAUUCAAAUUUUAUAAUUUUUCAUUUAUAGGCACUUUGAAUGUCAUCGAAUUUAUGUAAUUAGUUAGAGUUUGAUUCUUAUAUAUCAUUAUAAAGUUUUAAGUAUGUGAUAUAUGAGAUGUACUUCAGUAUCAGAUUUUGGCAAUAAUUUCUCAUAGUAGACGAGGUUUUCUGUGACACCCCCAAGAUUUGGUAUAGAUCUAAAUAUAAAAUAUAAUAUGAUUAAAUCUCUUAAUCAGGUUAUAAUAUUUUGGGCAGUGGUUAAACCCAAGAAGUUGAAAGGGUUAAACGUGCUAAGGUUAGAGUAGUUUUAGGAUGGACUAUUCUCCUGAGAAGCGAGACGUUACUGACUCACUCUUGGUAUUAGAGCCCAAUCAUCAGUCGAAAGUGUGAGAUGAGUCUCGGCUAAGUUAGGGUAAUACAACGGAUAAAUCGUGACUUUCUUGCUGAUGGCUGUUGUGGGUGGAGCACGUAUGACUUCCCACAAAAUUGGGUAAGGCUAGUGAGAUGAGUCUCCUAUCGUCUCACCCUAGAAUUUGGUUUAGUCCUAAAUAUAAAGUAUAAGGAAAAUUGCCUAUACACUUAUGAAAACUUCGAAAAUAUUUCAUUUGCCCUUAUUUUUUUCUUUUCAAUAUACUCCUCAUAUGUUACUCCGUUAUUCCAAAAUACCCCUUCAAUUACCACUCGUUAAGUUAACUUUGAUUAAACAUAAGUUAAACAUCUACCAGAAUUUUAAAAAAUCAAAAUACCUUUUUUGCCCUUAAUUUAAAGGCAAAUAAGAACGGUUGGUGAUGGUAGAAGGGUAUAUUUGAAAAUACCAAAAAUUAAAAUAACUUUUUGUGCCCCUAACUUAAGGACAAAUAAAAAAAACUAGUGAUGAUAGAAGGAUUUAUUUGAAAGGACAAAAUAGUAAUUUUAUAGAAAUAACAGCUAUUGCUAACAGUUCAUUAACAUAAUUUAACUAUAGGGAUAUAUUUAAAAUAUAUUGUAAAACUGGUAUUUUCAAUAUUAGCCUUCUAAGAGUGGUCAAUAAGAAAGUCGAAAACUUUUCAGAAAUAUAUAAGCAAUUGCUCCUAAAGUAUAAUAAGACUAAAUCUUUUAAUUUGACUAUAGUAUUUUGGAUAGUUGCUAUGCUCAAGAGGUUAAGAGGAUUAAACAUGUUUGUGCUAGAGCCGUUUUUAGAAUAUGUGACCUCCUAAAAAGUGAGAUAUCAUAUUUUUAUUCAUUUUUUAGAGGGUGUAUAUCUUGCACUCCAAAAUUUAAGAAUUAAUAGAACUCUCUUAGAUUUUAGUUAAAAAGAUUAAAAAUUGAUCAAAUUAGUGAAAAAAUAUAGGCCCUAAGAACUAUAUAUAUGAGUGUACGUUUAUACCAACCCUACGGUGUAUGGGUAGGAUUGUUCUUUUUGUUUUGUUUUGUUUUGUUUUAUUUUUAUGUGCGUCGAACAUGGAUGUGUUAGGCUUACAUGAUAAGGGCAAGGGAAUACCUACCUAAGGGAAUUUAGUACUGUUUAGUCUAUUAUCGGUCAAACCAACGAAAAUGAUUUAUAUUGAUUUGUUUGCUUGUUUCAUGUAUAAAAAGGAAAAUGCUUUGGGUGCUAAAAUAAUUUUGUUUUGAGAAAGAGAGGUAGCAAGUUAUCCGUUUUAUUUAUUUUUUUAGAAUUAAACUCGGUUAAAAGUAUAAAGCUUAUAUUUCGAAUUUGAGAAGCAGUUACAAAUGUGAAGCAAUUAAAUUUCAACAUUUUGAAAUUUAAAACUCAAAAUUUUGUAAUAUAAAUUUUAGGGUUAAUUGCAUACAGCUCCUUAUAAACAUAUCAAAUAGCAGAUAUAUUCCUAUAAAGUUUAAGUUUUUAUUUUUUGCAGAAGUCCUACCGUUUUCAAAUAUAUCCCUACUGAUAGAAUCCAUUAGAAAAAUAUAGUCAACCAUGAGUAAAAUUACUUAAUCCUGGUUAGUAAAUGAGUUAAACUGACCUUUUAACCCUCUAAUAUUAUUAGGUAAAAUAUUUUUUUGGUAGGACAUUUCUGUACAAUUUUAACAGCUGAAGCUUUUGGAGGGAUAUAUUUGUAAGGGCAAAAAUGUUAUUGCAGUUAACUAUUGUUAAAAAAAAGUAGUGCUCUGACGGUAAUUAAUCGAAUGGAUAAAUAUGAGUAUCACUGAACUUUUACAGGGAUAAAAAUAAAAACUUGAACAUUGUAAAGAUAUAUUUACUAUCUGAUAUAUUUACAGAGAGUUGUAUGCAAUUAACCCUAAAUUUUUAAUCUUGUUUAAAAUUUUAAAUAUAGCGUACUCGACCUUGGAGGCAGGGUUGCAAUGUUAGUAGAUGGUCAGCUCGUUUAGCAAGUGCCGGACGGAGUUGGAGUCGUUUUGGCACGUAGUGGAUAUAAAAAGGACAUGAAAAUCGAGAAUCAACUCAAUUGUAUUUUUAGUACACUUCUAGACUCCCGGAAGUAGUUUAGGGCGCUCACAAGUUACAAGUUGAGGAAUGGAAGUUUAGACCGUACUUGAGGAUGCCCUAUUCUAGUGAGGAUCCAGAGGUGUCAGGCCUUGAUGUGGGCGCCCGAAUUUUGGUAUUGUAGUAGUUUGAAAAGUAAGUGAGAUUGAUUUGACUUGUAUCAAGGUGCAUUUGGGUGUAAGGUGACUCAGCAAGAUUUCGGGUGCAGGUUCUGGGUGCUUGAAUUGGUUCAGGCAUAGAUAUGACGGAAGAGGAGCCGUCGAAUGCAGUAAGAGAGCACUCGAAAGAGGAAGAUUAAGAGGUUUCGAAUGCCUGAAUGAUGGUUCUGGGUGCCCAAAACUCGACAUUUUAGCUGAAGUUAGAUUUAAAGAGCCUUUUUACAUUGUUACAUUAUAUUAGUUGAUAGUGGCCUUCAUGCUUAUCUUUUUCUUCUUUGUACAUUCUAUAGAGAGAGGAAGAGAGGAGAAGAGAGUGUGGGAGAUCUAAGGAAAUGAUUCAGGAUACGCGCGCAUGAUUUUUCUAUCGCCUUUUGAGGUUGGUAUUAAAAUAUAUUAUUACAUUGAUUGGGAUUUUUAAUGUGCAAUUUACAGUACUUUUUAGGAGUAUAAUUUUUUUAUGGGAUUUUUGUGAGAUUUGGAUUUAGUAGUGAAAUUUAUGCAUGGUUUAGGAGCCAAAUUUCCUGGUUCGAUUCCCUACGGCUUAGGUGCCGUACCAUUGAGGACCUACAGCGGAGUUUGUGUCCUCCCAUCUUCCUUUCCCAUUUUCGGUAUUGGCGAUUUAGGUGGGUUCUAUAUUGCCAAAAGCGGCGUACUACUUCCUAUAUUUUUUUGUAUGUAUUAUUAUUAUCCUACCUACGGUGUAGUGAUAUUAGCAGCAUGUGAUAACUACUUCACAUUUAUUUGCAUAUGAGUUGAUGAUUGAGCAUAUAGGGAGUAGAAUCGAAUUACUAUAGACAUAUUAAUCGUGGAUUUUGUAAUAUUAAACUAUCAAAAAUGCUAUGAAGGUUAUCAGACGGUAAAGUAGUGGAUAGGGAGAGGUGUUUGCUAGUUUGACAUGCUAGGCUUUUGUGAUGUCAUAUGAUUGUGCCGAAGGCACUUGGACAGUGCAUAGUGAUCUCUUUGAUCAUCGUAUUUGACUAUAACUUGCAGAGUCACAUUGAGCUUGAUAAUGUCAAUGUGAGCUUGAUAAUGUCAAUGUGCUAUAAUACUCGGUGGGUGUCACUCUUCUCGAGUGCUACUCCAGAGGCUAGCUAAUGAUAUAGUAAAGAUAGUAGCCUCUGUGUUGACGGCGCAUCUGCGAGGAGUAUGGUCUGGAUAGUAGGCAAGUGCUAGCUUGACCGCACUGCUGAGUCGGUUGUCAUAAUUAGGUGAUGCAAUAUUUUUUUAUAUUAGUAUUAUAUUUGAUGCAUGUAUUAGCCAUCUGCAGUAUUGUUUCCUUUUCUAUUUAAGAGGAAUGCUAGGCUUAGUUGUUAUUCAGUGCAGUGCAGUACCUCAUGUUAUUAUGGUUCGAUUAUUUUUCUAUCUUACCUUUAGCAAAUUAUUUGUUAUUCAGUGUAGUACCUGUUAUUAUGGUCCUAUUGUGCUUUGCUUUUUACAGCUCUCAAUGCUGAUAUCGAAUCGAGAUAAGGGGAUCACGCAAUAGUUAGCAUCUCUUAUCCAAUUUUUGAGUGAUAGGAAAAAACCACCGGCUAGUUCGCUUUUGGAUAUAGCACUAUACGUCAGGACUGGCGAGGCCAAGGCCCUUUACUUGUAUUUAUAUUUUGAGAGUUAUAUUCAUAUGGAAUUAUGCACAGUAUUACCCACUUGGUAUAGUUAGCAUGCCCAAGGGCUUUUGCUAUGGACUCGGAGUGUGACAUUAAAUUUUAAAUUAAAAUUAUAAAUUUUAAAUAUUAAAAUUUAAAAUUAAAAUUCUAAAUAUUAAAUAUUAAAAUUUUAAAUUCUAAAUUUUUAAAUUUAAAUCUAAAUUGUAAAUUCAAAUAUUGAGUUUUAAAUUUUGGUUGAGAUUUUAUAUUUUAAAUUUUAAAAUUUUAAAGUAAAAUUUAGAUGUUAAGUUAAAAUUUUAAAAUAAAUUUAGCAAAAAAACUACUAUUUACAAAUAACAAAAAGUUUUGCCCAACAGUUUUUUAAAUCACUUCUUAAAAAAAUCACUUUUCUACUUAACCAUAAACUCUACCACAUUUAAUCAAAAUCAAUUCUCUGAAUCAAAAUUAAUUUUAUGGAAAUUACUUUCUCAGAAUCUAGGCUAAAUAGGAUCUCCCUUUUGGAAUUAUUAUACACUGCUUGAUUCUUUGAAAGUAUGUGGGAAAAAUUUUUUCAAGGAAAAAAAGUUGUUCAUAUUUAGUUUUUUCUCUAUUUAGUUCCAAUAUAAUUAGUUUUUUGGAAAGCUUCUUUCCAAAUUUUAUAAAAAAACUAGCAUUUUUAUUUUUUAAAAAAAUUCAAAAAAUGAAAGUAUAAAUUUGACAUAAAAUUAGAAAAAUAAAUUUUGAAACAAACUUCUUUUUGGAAACCAAAUAAAAAAAAAAGAAAAAAUUCAUAAAAUUUUUUUGCACGAAAAUUUUUUUUCCACACUUUUUGGAUGAACCAAACACUCCUACAAGAAACUCAUGGUUUUUUGCCCUUUUGGAGUAAAAAGUAAUAGACAAAAGUUGAGGGGCUAAUGUUGCAAUUUACCCAAUUGUAAAGCGAACUUUUCCCUUCCGAGUUCCGACACUGUUCGCAAACCCUCGCCCUGGCUUUUCGAAGUCGAGAGAGAGAGCUCCUACUCCCCAACAAUGGAGCUCACCAAAACCCUAACCCUAACUCUCCGCAUCUCCCCCUCUCUUCACUGAGGCCCCCUAUUCCGCUUUUCCCCUCUUCCUAGCACCAGAGUAUAAGGCGACGAGGGGAGAGGAGGAAGGGGGAGGGGGCGCGGAGAUGGAGAACCACAAGAAGUCUCUGCUGAGGGUCCGGGUCCGGGUCACGGCGCGGAAGCGGGCGCGGGAGUCGCCCUCCUCCGGCGAGGGCUCCGGCCGGAAGAUGCGGGCGCGGGUGUGUGCUAACUCGGUGAGGAAGCUCGCGUGCCGCGAGAUCGGCGGCCUCCCUCGCAUGGCCCGCGUCGCCUCCUCCAGCGCCCCCGAGAAGUUCCGCAACAUCCAGCUCCAGGUCCGUGCUCCCUCACCCGUAAUUUGAGUUCCUGUUCCUUCGCUUUCUUGUUGUUUGGUUGGAAUCGUCGAAGAUCGUGCGCUCGGGGCUCGGAAUUCGUUAGGAUUUGGUGACUAUGAUCGUUGUGAAACUCUUAGUUCUGCGAAGUUGGAAGCUUUUUUGUAGAUCAGCGGCCAAAAUGGUUUUUGUGAAGAUUGGUAUCUAGGGUUUACGAUUAUGUUUAAUUUUGACUCUUGGAUUUGGCUUGUUCGUUAGGAGAUGUGGCAGUAAUAGAUGAUUGGAUGAUGUAUAGCGAAAUGAAUGGUUGUUAGGGUUAAGUUUGGUGUUUGAACUGUAUAUUGCUUUGGAGCUGUUGCGAACAAACUACUUUGGUGGAUUGGUGAUAGAAAGUUAGGGAUUGGACAGGAAAAGAAACAUGCUUCUUGUCACGUCAAUCCAGAGGCAAGCAGAGCAACAUGCUUCUCUACAUUUUAAUUUAUCAUCCCUUAAGUUCUAAGAAGUAGCAUUCCUUAUAGAUGAAACAUGUUUAUUUCUGGCAAAUGUUGCUUUUUAAUAAAGUAUUUUCCUUGAUUUUGAAACUCCAGAUUUUGAAGAUGAUGACCAAGAAAAAUUGACCAUGGCAGUAAAAUGAAAAAAAAGAUAUGAUUGUGAUAAUUUCCUGGUAGUGCAACGGAAUUUAUGAAUUACCAUGAUUCAUUCAAAAUACUUCUGGGUAUCCUUCUAUGAUUUGUGAGGCUACCAUGUGAGAUAAGGAAUUGGUGAUGAGGUUUUAUGAUAACAACAAUUUUGGGGAUAAAAAACAGAGCUUAUGUUGAUGAUAGAAAUAUUUCUAAGUUCGCCUUAGAUUGCUUAUAUUGAUCAGCAUUAUUAGACACCCUGUUAAUUUUGAGGAUUAUACUCUUAGUAGUAUUAAAUAAAGAUAGGUUACUUCGAUAAUUGCUUUUAGACAGGUUUUAAUGAAGACUGAUGCCUUGUUUGGUUAAGCAUACAUAUUCCUUGUUUUUUUUUCCCUUUAAACCCAAAUUUUAUGCAAUUGGAUGCUAUGAGCUGAUGCAUUUGCAAGUUGCAAGCAAUAACAAGAAUAGAGAAGUCCUUCCCAAGGCGAAUUAAAUUGCAUAGAAUUUGAGAUUUACAAAAUAGAGAAAAAUGUCAGGGUAGCCAAAGGAAGCCUAAUGGCUAAUGCCUCCAUUAUAAUGAUGUGGAGAGUUGCUCUUCUUAUUUAUCAUCGAUUUAUGCUCAGUAUCUGUGGAUAAGGAUAACUGUCGAACUUAGUAUAUUAUGAUUGGCUGCUUCUAGGCAAACGUCCUUAUUGCCUUUAAAAAAGAAUUGCUUAUUAGAUGGAAUGGAUGUCUAACUUACAUUUCUCUGAGCCACCGUUUGGUUGGGGGUUAAGGGGUGGAAUAACCCCUUAACCCCCAAUUUAUACCCAAACACCACUCUUAAGGGGUGGGGUUUACUAACCCCACCCCAAACCGGGUUAGUGGCGUUUACUAACCCCACUCCCCCUCCCAACUUUAACCCCGCACGCAUUCCGAGCCCUCACCUUUUUCUUCUUUAUCAAUCAUUAACCCCACUCCCCCUCCCAACUUUAACCCCGCACGCAUCCCGAGCCCUCACCUUUUUCUUCUUUAUCAAUCAUUAUCUUCUUAUCCCACCUACUCCAACCAAACACUUUUUUUCACUAUCCUAGACUAACUCCAACCUCCAACCAAACACAAAAAAAUUUUAACACCAUUUUAACCCUGAACUUAACCCUAUCCCUGGAAUAGCUACUUUUUCUUAACCCCGAACCAAACGGUGGCUGAGUGUUUUCUCUGGAAUUGAUGCUGCUAUCCACAUCCCUUGUUUAUCUCAAUUCCUAGUUUCAGUUUGAUUACCUCUAGUUAAAGUUCAAUUUUGAAGUGCUUUAUCCAAAAAAUUAAAUUUUAUUACGGAUGAAUUCAGUUUAUUUUUCUGGGCAGUUACACUUUUCGGAGUAAUUUUAAAUAUAGGUUUGUGGAAGUAAUAUGUGCAUGCAUGUAUAUGUUCAUGCAUUGCAUCUGAAUUACAGCAUGGGCGCAGUCUCUCCUAUAAAAUCGAUUAUGCUUUUGUCAUUCAUAUGUCCUUCAUCAUUAUUGUAACCUAUCUUUUAUGAUACAGUCCUGAUUUCAGUUGUGUUUCAUAAAUGUUUUUAAUAUGAUUUAUGCAUUAUUUAAUGCAGGAGGAAUUCGACACGUAUGAUGAUAAUAUCCAUUGGUUUCUCAAAUUACAAUUUCUGAAAAAGAGGUCCAAGAUCAUUGAGAUUGUUGCAGCAAAGGAUGUUAUAUUUGCUUUAGCACAAUCUGGUCUCUGUGCUGCUUUUAGCCGGAGUAAGUCUGAUGCUUCCCUAGUUUCCUGUUGACUCUUUUGUUUAUUCUAGUUCUAAUUCUGAUUUUUUUCUUUUUGUUGAUAGCAACAAAUAAGCGUAUAUGCUUCUUGAACAUAAGCCCCGAUGAAGUGAUUAGGAGCUUAUUUUAUAAUAAGAACAAUGACUCACUCAUCACAGUUUCUGUUUACGCAUCAGACCAUUUCAGUUCCUUGAAAUGCCGGACCACUCCAAUAGAGUAAGAAACUUACUUUCAUGUGAAUGCUCUAGUUUUCAAAUAACUUCAAUUCUCCUCGUGUAUAGUUCACGCGUUAUGCACAUAUGUGCACAUACAUUGAUGUACACAUUGUGUGUGUUAAGGUUCUGAUAAGUAUUAAAAACUGAAGAUAAAUGCAGAUUUUUUUUCUCAACUUAACUAUUAGCUUAUAGUUGGUGAUUUUAGGAUUAAACCUUUCAUGGUUUUCUUGGUUACUUGUAGAAGAUGUACUGUGACAAAUGUUUCUAUAUUGCUGAUACCAAAAUCUACAAACAAAGGCCUCGUUAGGCAUUGUUGCCAUUUUUGCUUUUUUAAAAGAAUUUCGAUACAAAAUAGAGUGGGAGGGGAUGAUGGCUUGCUUGCAACCAUAACAUUCAAGUAUUUGUUUGGCAACAAAGAGGAAAAAAAAUUGGAAGCAACUUUUUUUUGUUUUCAGUUUCUUUCUUCUUUUUUUUCGAACAAGUCGUCAUUCAUCACUUGGCCGUGGUACAACAACAUAAAUUCCUUCUGCCAGUGUAGCAAAAUUAUAUAAAAUUAGUGUGUAAAAAAACAAAAAAAAAAAGGGUCAGAAAUGCCAAAUGAGACUUGCUAUCUAAUUCUGUUCCAAGCAGUUCUAGUAAUGACUUAUUUUUGGACUCUGGCAGAUACAUCAGAAGAAACCAGCUAGAUGCUGGUUAUCCUCUUUUUGAGACCGAAUCAUUAAAAUGGCCUGGUUUUGUUGAGUUUGAUGAUGUCAAUGGCAAAGUUCUUACAUAUUCAGCCCUGGAUGGGUAAGUGACCCUCUUGAUGCUUUUCUCUUUACAAACCCUAAUCCAUCUGAUUUAUUUUUUUGCUUACAGUACUUACAAAUUGUUUGGCAUGGUUACAGUACUUACAAAGUGUUUGACCUGAAGAACUAUAACUUCUUGUACUCCAUAUCGGAUAAGAAUAUUCAGGAGAUCAAAAUAAGGUUUGGUUCCCUUCUUCAUUAAACAUGCAUGUAGAUUAUUUUAUGCAUCUGAAUCUUUUUGUAAUCUGAUAUUUGAAAAUCAUGCAUUUGAACAGCCCAGGCAUCAUGCUGUUAAUAUAUCAGAGAACUCCUGGUUAUGUUCCACUCACAAUAUUAUCAAUUGAAGAUGGAACAGUGUUGAAAUCUUUCAAUCACUUACUACACCGCAACAAGAAAAUUGAUUUCAUCGAGCAGUUCAACGAGAAGCUACUGGUCAAGCAAGAGAAUGAGAACCUCCAGAUUCUUGACGUAGGCUGUUAAUCUUUAUCUUUCUUGUUUUUGAUUUUUUUUUCCUUUUUAAUUUUAAGAAGCAUAUUAUAAUUCUUGGAGCAGGUGAGGAACUCGGAGCUGAUAGAAGUCAGUAGGACUGAUUUCAUGACCCCUUCUGCAUUCAUUUUCCUAUAUGAGAACCACCUUUUCUUAACAUUCCGGAACAGGACUGUCGCAGUUUGGAAUUUCCGGGGUGAGCCAGUCACCUCCUUUGAAGACCACCUGCUCUGGCAUCCUGAUUGUAACACUAAUAACAUUUACAUCACUAGCGACCAGGACCUGAUAAUCUCGUACUGCAAGGCUGAAAGUGAAGACGAGGGAGAAGGUAUUUAAUUUCCUUCCAUACUGAAAAAUUUUGCUGUUACUCUGCGCCUGUUUGGCUUGGCUUUUGGUGAACUUCCCUACUUUAAAAAAGCAAUCGUUUCGUGUUUGGCAAACAAAAACCAUGGACCAUCUUGUUUUGCCCGAAGCUAAAUUACGUGCUUGAAUACCAAAAGUAGAAGAUCUAAUUUGAAUCUUCUGUUUUUUCAAAUAGCUUUACCAACUGUUCUGCAGAAUCUCAGGACGCGCUAGCAGGCCAUUUUUUAAGCAAAAACAUUUGAUGUUAUGAUCUAAAAAGAAACCUUCACAGCUUCUCCUAUAGGAUCUAUCAACAUGAGCGACAUCCUCAGCGGGAAGUGUGUCGCGAAGAUCUGUCCCCGUGAUCCCUCUCUACAGAUUGCCCCUCGCAAGCGGGGCGACCCGAGCCGUUCUACCAUCAGGAGCACUAUAAGGGAAGCUCUUGAAGAUGUAACUGCACUCUUCUAUGACGAGGAUCGGAACGAAAUCUAUACGGGGAACAAGCAAGGCCUGAUCCAUGUUUGGUCAAAUUAGUAGCUAUACCUAAUAGCCGUCUGUAUAAUGUAUCUCAUUGCCAAACAUCAGCUGCAUCCCACCAUCUCCAUGUAUCAUGCUCUGCUUUAGAGCCUCUUUGUAGCAUGGGUUUCAGUUUCAAAACCUACCAUCCCGUGUUACCCUGCGGUGUUUCUAGGUGUAUUUUGUGUCAUAUCUAUGAUUAUAUCAGUAUGUAGCAACUGCAUCUUUGUUUUAGGAGAAAAGCUCUUUCUUUCCGGUUUUUUCUGUUGAUCUUUUUGUGGCAGUGUGUUUUCUCAUGGAACACAUUAUCUGUGGGAAUGAUUAGCAUCAAUUGCUAAUGUUGUUUUCUGAGUUUGAUUCUGAUUUCAUUUUCGAUCUUUUGGUCUCGACUCUAACAUUUUUGUGAGUAAAGAUUGUUUUGCAUAACAAUUAAAUUAACUUUUGCCUGUAUUUUUUUUUUUUUUUUGGUUGUUUCAGACGUUUCGAAUAGAAGCUAUAGGAAAUAAGCUAGAUUGUUGAAAUUUGAAACACUGAACUACUGGAGACUAAAUUUAAUCACGAUCAAUCUUCUGUGGUCUAAAGAGUAUCACUGCAACCAAAAUUAAUGUUAAACUUCAAAGGUCAAAUUCGGCAACUAAAUGCAAGAUUAUCACAAGAAAUGAUGAUUUCUGCGUUUUGCAUAGUUUCAACUAAGACGUUGCGGUUGAGGACGGUUGUGUUAUUUGAUAAUUUUUUAUCAUUAAAAUUUGAAAAUCUGAGAGGAAAAUUAAAAUUCUGAGUGAAACUUACAGAUAUCAGAUUGUUAAUAUUGGAACACUGGAAACUAAUCUGGAUCAUGAUUCUUCAUUCCUUCAACUAUUAUCGAGACCAAAAUUGCGGAACCGAAGUUGGCAUCAAAACUCUAAUACAGGACGAGAUUUCCAAGCAACUGCAAGAUUAUUUACAAGAAUUGGCCCUGCUCAGUUGAAUGCCCCCGAUUCAGGAGCGGGGUCAGAGGAGAACUCUGAUUUUUUAGGCUCCCUCUCUGCAGUCUGACUCGGCUGUACAGUUUGGCGCCGUGCAGCUCCGUCCGCAGGGCCGUCUUGGUCGCCGGGCCCGCAGUCGGCCCCAAGAUCCUCCUCUGUUUUGCUGCUGUCAUCUUCUGCCGCUGCUGCGUUGGCAACGGAAGCGGCGAACCCAGACCACGCCUGCUCGAGCCUGGCUAGAGCCUGCACCAGCUCGUCCGACCCCCUGCCCGUCAGCUCCUUCAUCUGCGCCUCGAAUCCCCGCAAUUUCCGAGCCAGCUCCGCCACCGGCCCCGCGGUCUCUGUCACGGCCUCGUCCAGCUCCCACAGCUCCCACACAUCUUCCGCAUCAGAAGCCGGGCCGAGGAGUUUGUCGAGCCGUUUGAAGAAGAUCCAAGAAGAUAACCCCGCGGCCUUUUCUCUUUCGUACCUGGUUUUCACCUUUCUGAUCCGAUUCUUGCAGCUUUCGACGGUCCAGCGCCCCUGGUCGCGGCUGUUGACGGCAGCGGCGAUCUCCCACCAAUCUUCCUCGCUGAGAUUGCCACGGUCGCGCUGCUCGUACUUAUCGGCCCACGCUUUGAUCACGGCCCGUGUCGCGCCAACGCUGGCGCUGCGGAAACAGCGCCGGGCUGAGGACAAGGGCUUGUACUUCUUGCCAGAGACCCGAUCAUCCUUCGCCAUGAGAGUGAGGAAGGGGUGUUGGUAAACAGAGAGAGAGAGAGAGAGAGAGAGAGAGAGAGAGACAGAGAGAGAGUGAGUAACUGCUUGAAUUUGAAGCGUUUCGCGGUGGUUUUGUAUGGGGGGAAAUUGCACCGCUAGUCCCUGAACUUUUUAUCUCUGAUGUUGUUUUGGUCCUCAAACUUCUGAGUUAGAUGUUAGUGGUCCCUAAACUUUUUUUAAAGUUUGAUUUUAACGCUUGAAUGUAUUUGUAACUAGAGAAUAAAUUAUUACCUGUGCCUAGUGCAUGCUUAUUUAUGUAUAUUAUAUAUCGUAUAUUACAAUCCCACUGUCUAUUGAGUUUUUUUUUUUUUUUUUGCUAUGUAAAAAUUGGGCAUCUAAAUUUAAAGUAUGAGAUAAAUGAAGAAAAAGAUAAAUUUGUAAUUUAUGAACAAAAAGUUAAGAGCAAUACUAUCAGGACACUCCAAACACCAUACAUCUACUUCAUCCAAGAGUUAUUAUUUCUUACUUAUCACAUCAAUUAAUUUUUUUUUUUUUGAGAGAUAGGUAGUACGCUACCCGCUUCGUUUAUUUCAUUUAGACAUAAACUUAGCUAGAAAUGUGAAUCAACUAGGAUUCGAACUUGGGUCUCGAGCACCAACCACCAAGCACUUUGCCACUUGCUCUAAGGACGGUCGGUAUCACAUCAAUUAUUAUUAUUAAUUAUUAUUAUUAUUAUUAUUAUUUACUAAAUUAUUUGGACUUUUAUGAACUUUAGCCUCUAGGAUAGAAAGUGUAAGAUCUACACCUAUUGUCACGUUCGAGUCCAACCAAAUUGACUUGCUGGGUAUAUGUAACAGACUUGUCAAACGAGCAAGAUUCCUUUACCGGCACGAGACGUAAAUAUAUAACAACCUGUACAAUGCAUAAAUGAUAUGGGUACAAUAGAGUAUUGGAGUAAAUUAAUUACUUCUAAAUUAAAAGCAUUACAGUGACUUCUUUAAAGUUUACAAUAUAUUAUUUUUCAAAAUUAAUUUUGUUUAAACAAAAAGGUACUUUCACUAGACCUAACCGUGGAUGAUCUCGCUAACUCGUAGUGCUCUUGCCGUGAUCCCACAUCUCACGAUUGCUAGAAGGCUCUGAAAAAAAUGUUAGUAACAGUGAGGUGAAUUGAAAUAAAAUUUUAGCGGAUGAAACUGCCGAAAGUGGUGCUCAAUCCAAAGGAGGUACUAGUAGAAUAAUAAUAGUAAAUAAAAAACUAUUUUUAUAAUAAAAAUACAAGUAAAACAAGUGCAAUUACUAUGCCUUAAAUAUAUACAACUAGUUUAGGACCCGCGCUUCGCGGCGGAUCGAUAGUAUUUCAGUCAAUCGGCAGAUAUAAUUAUUAAAAUUUUAAAAUUAAAAAAUUAUAGCCUUCUAUACAUUAUAAAGCUAAUCUUUUUUUAUUAAUAUUUUUUAACUUUCAGUAUUUGUAGAGUUAAAAUAUUCUAAUAACUUCACCUAAAAAUUCAAUUAAACUUAGUAGUUUUAGUAGUUAUUUUAUAAAUUAAUUUUUUAAUUAAAAUUUAAGGAUUUAUUCUAAAUUGCAAAUAUAUAAUGUUAUCCUUAUCUAGUUAACAUUGAUUGGAAAAAGAAGAAAUUAUUAUAUGCACCUAGUGUAUAUUAACACACCAUACACCACAACUUAUAUUAAAAACUAAUUUUUGAUAUCAAAACUUAAUUAAAUAUAUUUGAAUUAUAAAGUCUAAUAAUUUAAAUAUAUUUACUGAAUUAAAUUUUAAAAUCUCUAUUAAAUGUUUUAAGUAUGUGGUGUAUGUUGUAAUAUAUAUCCAGUAUAGAGAAUGCUUGACAGAGUAUAUUUAUAAUUGCAAAAAAAUAGGAGAAAUCUUUAGUUGCACCUGAUAUAUACUAAUAUUUCAUACACCAUAAAAGUAUAUUAAAUGAUUGAUAGAAUAUCUAAUAAUUAGUAUUAAAGAUUUUUAUGAUGUGAUGGAACUGCCAAAUUAUAUAUCUUGUAGAUUAUAUAUUAAAAAAGAGUUUGAUGUAUGCAAUAUUUUAAUAGAUCGGGUGGAUGUAAUAUUGUUGAAGUAGAGGAGGGAGAGGAAAGAAAACACAUGUCGCUCUGAGAGCUUUUAAUAUGACCCAACUAUCAAAUUAUAUAUCUAUAGAAGAUAUGCCAUAAUGAUAUAGUAUGUCAUUGGUUUAUAUGUUUACCCUAAACUAUUUCUUAUCUCUAACCAAUCAUUUGGUUCGGUUUGACUUCUCGUUUAGCAUUUUACGAAGAGUCGAAAAUAAUCAGCAUCUCUCUAAUCGGUAGGCACUUGAAGUCGAACGAAAUCAAUAUCUCCAAGUACAAUAAGGAGUCAAGAGGAAUUAGCAUUUCCCAAUAUGGAGUAGGGCAUCGAAGAUAAUCAGUAUCACCCAUUUUGCAACUUCCAGAAUGUCGUGGCUUGUAUCAUAGCUAAACCCUAAGUUCUCAUUAGGGUUCAUCACAAGGUUCAAUUAUACAUUUUUUUUUUUUUUUCUCUAGCUCAAGUUUAGUUUAGAGUUCAAAUAUUACUAUUUAUCACACCCUAAGUUCAAUAUCACUAUUAUUUCUCCUAUAUUCCAAUCUUCACAUGAUACUCAACAUGCACAUUAGUUAUUGUUUUUAGCAUGGAAAAUAGUUAGAAACCCUAUUUUUCCUAGGCUAAAGGCCCUUGAGCCCUCUUAACCUCCUAAACCUCAUAACAUUGAACUAAAUAUAUCUUUCUUUAUUUUUUACCCAUAAUACAUACAAAGGAAUACAAAAAAUUUUAGACAAAGAAAAGAUCAAAUGCAUCUUACAGUGAUAUUCUCCACCUUUAGUUGAAUCUUCCUUGUAGAUAAUUCUUGAUCUCUUUAAAAUUUUAAAUUUUUUUUUGAAAAAAUUCUAACCAAGUUAGAAUAAUAAAAUCUUCUAUUUGGAAAAAAAAUUCCCUAAAACCAAGCUCUAAAAAUCCCAACUAUAUAGAUGAUAUAACACAUCACUAAACUAGAUCUACUUAAAAUUGAUAACACUAUUUUCAUAAAACAAAAUAAAUAGUAUUAGCUACCAAUCAAAUUAGCACUGUUUUUUCCAAGACUGUUUCUUUCAAACUUCUAUUUUCUGUCUACCCCUCUCGACCAAGCUUUCCUUCUCCAUGCUCCUCCCGCUCUAACCUUUUAUCCUGAAUUUAGCUGGGUAGCUAGCCAAAAUCCAACUAAUAGGUUUGGCUGUUUGUUUACUUUGCUAUCAUUUUCUACAAUAUUAUCAUUACAUUUUCUACGACCUACUCUACAAUCGUCUAGAUUUUCAUCUCCUUACUUCACUCUUCACUUCAAAAUUUUCUUUUCUUUAAUCUACUCGGCAUCACUGAUUAUAUUUUUCUUUCGACCGGGAGCUUGACGGACUUGAUGAGCGGGACAUUUCGCUGUGAGUUGAAGGAUGACAGUUGGACCAGAGAUGCAGUCUGAAUGAUUAAUUUUGUCCAUCUUCUUCUCUCUAUUUUUUUUAUAUUUUGAGCUUAACAUUCAUGAGCUUAAUUGAUAAUUAGGUCGGAGAUUUUUCAAGCUUCGAGGGCUACUAUAUUUAUAUUCUCUUUUUUUUUUUUUAAGUUUUAGAAACACUUGUACUUUUUUUCCUUCUUUCCUGAUAUAAAAAUAUGCUUAUUUUAUUUUUAAAAAUUCUACAAUAAAGUAAUUAAGUCAUACUUUUUUAAUCAAAUGCCAAUGGUCUAAUGUAAAAACAAGUAGUAACACUAAUUUAAUGCAUUGGCAAUGCUCAUCCAUCUCUUCAAAUACAGAUCAUGAAAGGGGAACCCUAAAGCUGGGCUCCUCGGGCUUUGCGGGUCUCAUUCUUGUCCUUGAAAGAAAAAAAAGAAAAAAAGGGGAAACAGAGGGUGACUUUCGGGGAGUCUAAAGAUUGUGCUGUGUGGUGUGUGCUGUAUGCUUUGCCUGUUGUGUUCUAUCCUUGAAAAUGACAAAAGGGGCUUUCGCGUCCCAUCCUUUGUGUCGGUUCGCUUUUUCUUGUCUGGACUCGGUUCAUCGACUUGUUAUCUAUUAAUAAAGGAAUCUGUCUCUUUUUUUCACCCUCUCUCCUUUUCUUCCACCUUACUAAACCAUAAAUCCAAUUAUCAUCCCUGCCUUUUUCUCUCACAAACCCUAAACCUAAUUGUAUAAGUUUUUAGACCACUGGUAAUAAUAAAUUCUAUAUGAUUGAGAGAAGUGCUACUUAUACACCUGAACCUAAAAAAAAGGGGAGUAAAUCCCACACGAUCCCUUCUUCUCUUUGCUCUAAAAUCGCAUGGCCCGUGUCGCCUCCUCGAGCGUGCCCGAGAAGUUCCGCAACUUCCAGCUCCAGGUCCGUGCUCCCGCGCCCUCCAUUUCGCCGUAAUUUGAGUUCCUGUUCAUUCGAUUUCUUGUUGUUUGGUUCGAAUCGUCGAAGAUCGUGUGCUUGGGGCUCCGGAUUCGGUAGGGUUUGGCGUAUGAUGAGUUUUGUAGAUUUGUGGCUAUGGUUUUAUGAAGAUCGGCAUCUAUGGCUUACGAUAUGAUUAUGUUUAAUUUGGACUCUUGCAUUUAGCUUGUUCGUUAGGUGAAAGUCGAAUCUUUCGAUGUAGAGCAAAAUGAAUGGUUUUUAGUUAGGGUUACAGGUUCGUAUUCGAACUGUGUAUCGAUUUGGUGGAUAAGUUAGGGUUUUCAUCUAAUCAUAUUUGCAUGGUAAGAUGGGUUUACAGUCAUUGUAAGAUUUGGUGUGGUACCGAACUCUGUCGGUAGAUUGAUGAUAAAUUUAGGGCAAAGAUACUGGCAAGAUGAGCCCAGUAGAGGCUUCUUAAUAAUUCAUCAGACUGGAUAAUUGAAGGACUUUUUUUUCACAGUAACCCUAUUAAAAUUUCUCAUUUGCCAAAUAAUUCUUUUAAAAUUUUAUUUGGCCAACUAACCUGAGAAACAGUGAAUUAUUCACCUCUUUCAGAAAGUAGUGAAUGAUUCGCCGUUUUCAUAUUGUUAUUUUUUUUUUUUUAUAAGUUGUGAUUGUUAAGAUUGUAUGAGGAUUAUUAAAUUUUAUUUAUAGUUAAAAUUAUAUGGAUAGAUUGUUAGGAUAUUUUAAGUUGUUAGAAUUAUAUGUGAUUUGUGGUUGUUAAUAUUAUAUAUGGGCAUAGAAAAAAAGGAUAAAUCAUUCACGGUGAAUCAUUUACUGGAAUCAUUUACUAUCUCUAAUAGAAAAAAGAAGACGGUGAAUAAUUUACCGCCUUCUAAAUUUCAUUAAAGGCGGUAAAUGAUGGACCGUCUUUCAAUACCCGACAGUGAGUUGUUAAAAUAGGGUUAUUUGAACAAAUAAUUUUUUACAAGGUUAUUUGGCCAAUUAUAAAUUUUUAAAGGGUUAAAAUAAAAAAAAUCCAUAACUGACAGGGACUUCGUAUUGCACAGUGAAGCAUCUUCUUUUUUUUUUUUUUACCUAUGUGGUUGCAAAGACUGAUAAUGAUCUAUCAUCACUUUCGUAUCUUUGGUCAUGAAGGUUUCGUUUUAAUCUGACUGUCAUUAAAAGAUGCUAUCCAGAAUUACCUGUAGGAAUUUUCCUUCAAAAGUAAAUGUUAUUUAAAUAUGCAAACCGGUAAAAGAUCUUGACAACUGCAUUGGUUCUAGCAUUUGUUCUUGCAAUGCAUGAUUCAUCUCUGUAAGGCACCCUCAAAAGUUGUGAAACAUAGCUGUCGAGAACGUCAAGAUAUGGCAUUGACCUGUUCCUUUUGCUAUUCCAGCCGGCUUUGGAAGAUGAUGACCGAGAAAAAUUGGUAUAAAAUGGAAAAAAAGAAGGAAGUUUAUGAUUGUGAUAAUUUUCUGGUGGUUCAGCAAUUGCCAUGAUUCAUAAAAGUAUUUAUAAGUAUCCUUUUAUGAUUUGCAAAGCUGCUGUGUGAGAUAAAGAAUUGAUGCAGAGUUAUUAUGAGAACCACAAUUUUAUAGGGAAUAAAAACAAAGCUGCCUAUGAGAUGGCAAUACCUGGAUAUAACCAUGUGCUAACUUUCUUGGUUCAAAAUGGUAUGACAGUUCAAUCUUCAGGAAGUUCUGUAUAUUCAUAGUUAUUAUAUUUUAUUAAUCAAUGCAUAUCUGACAAUGUAGACUUAUUAGACUGUCAUGAUACAUUAAUUUCUAGAUCAACUAGGUCCAGGAAAUUCUGAAACUUUUUUUUUUUUUCCUUAGUUCAAAAGCUGUCAACCUUUUUGAAAUCAUCCUAAACUUUUAAUUUUGAUAUUUCAAAAUUCCGUCAUUUAUUAUAUCUUGCUGCUCUAGGAUGUGAGCUUCACAAUUCGUUCAUUGGGUUCACUUUAAAUCCAGAAUUACAGUCUUUUAGUUUGAAUAUACGAUUUUGAAACUUUUUCUUCUGUACCUUAGAAAACUUAGGUUUAACUACUCGUGUUUGUCAGGUUGAACUAUUGGAUCGUUAAGUUUUUGUAUUCUUCACUUUCUUUUGUCUUAGAUUGUCAAGCUUCAUCUCCUUAUCAUCACCCCGUUUGAGCUUUCUUCAUUCACGGUUAGCAUGUCAUGUCAUCUUACAUUGUUUUGACAUUAUGGAUACGUAACAGAGAUUAUGUUUCUUUUCACUUUAUGUUUAAAUUAGAUAGCAUGAAAAUUCCCAAGUUCACCAUAGAUUGCAUAUAUUGGUCAGUGUUAUUAUACCCUGUUAAUUUCGAGGAUUAUACUGUAGUAGUAUUAAACAAAGAAUAGUUUCUCCGUUAAUUGCUUUAGAGAGAUGUUUUAAUGAAGACUGACCUUGUUUGCUUUAGAGUUGGUGUAUUUAUUUCUCAAUGCUCUAUAUUCAAUAUCUCUGGAUUAGGAUAACUAUCGAGUCUGUGUAUUAUGAUUGGCUGCUCGGCAGCCUCCUGGCUGUCUCUUUUUUUUUUUCAAAAAAAAAACUCUCACUAGAUGGAAUAAAUUUUAACAUAAGCAUGCAUUCCUGUCAGUGUUAUUGCUGCAAUUUGUGCUACUAUCUUAUGCAAACCGAAAGGUUGCCAAAAUUGAAUUUUCAAGUUUGCUUUUGUUUAAAAGUAUUUCUUGAAAUAAAUAAGGUUUAAUUUAUCGAUUCCGACGAACUUUACUAUAAUUAAAGCAAUGAAGCAAAAAUUUCAACCAGACAAAAAUUAAAUUCGAAUUGAAGAAAUACUAAGAUGAUGAUGAACUUCAAUAUAUGAGAUAAUAACAAUCAACUGAAAGCAUAUAUAAUAGUUCCAAAAGGUAAAUUCAGCUUUAUCAAACUUAAAGCUUUUAGAUUUGGUUGUUUGACAAAUAUGGUUGGUAAUGGUGGAAGGCUAGAUUGAAAGGGAAUAAUAGGAUAUUAGGAGAUGAGAGAUACAAAAAGUGCACUGUUCACAUGAUUGCGGGGGAUCCACGAUCGACGAGGAGAGCGGUACACUAAAGGUAGAACUUUGGUCACGGGAAAGAAGAAGAUGAGGUAGUGACUCGAAAGAAGAGGAGGGGUAGAAGUAGAAGUUGAUCUUGUCAUGAGGAAAAAGCGACAACGAACAAAUUGAGGAAAAAGACGAUCUCAGCACGAGGAAGAAGCGUUGAUGAUCUCAUCGGGAAGUAGAACACCAAGGAUAAAUAGUAAAAGUAUAAUUUUCUAUUCAUCAAAAUAUAUUCCUUAAGGCUUCAAAAACCAAGUAUUUAUAGUGUUGAGAGCCCUCCUAUAAUAAAUUACUGUCCUUUCGUUUUCAACAUAACGGUCACUCAAGGGUCAUGUAUAGAAGACGAAGCAAUUUUGGGAAUUCAAAGGUCUUUUUUGGAAUAGUUUUUUUGUUUAUUGGAGAAAAGGGUUUGGAUUAGCUAAACCAACUAAAACUAAAUGAGUUAAGUCCAAAUCAAACAUAAACCUACAAAAUAAAAGAAAAUUGCAUUCGAAAAUAAACUGUGAUUUAUAUGCUGCAUCACUAUCUACAUCACUUUUUAUCUCAGUUCUUGGUUUGAGAUUGAGUUAUUUCUAGUUAAAGUUCAAUUAUGAAGUGUCUUAUCCAUAUAGUUAAAUUUUGUUAAGGAUGAAUUCAGUGCAGUUCAUAUUUGGGUAAUUUUUAAAUUUAGGGUUGUGGAAGUCAUAUUUGCUCAUAUAGUUAUAUUUAUACGUUAAUGCAUUGCUCCUCUUAGAAAUGCUGAAAUUAAAGCAUGGUCUGAUUCUCUUCUACAAAAUGGAUCAUGCUUUUGUCAUUCAUGUACCUUCAUCAUAAUUUUACAUAUCUUCUAUGAUACAGUUCUGAUUACAACAAUGUUUAGUAAAUUCUUUUAAUAUGAUUUUGUGUUGUUUAAUGCAGGAGGAAUUUGACAUUUAUGAUGACAAUUUCAAUUGGUUUCUCAAAUUACAAUUUCUGAAAAAGAGGUCCAAGAUCAUUGAGAUUGUUGCAGCAAAGGAUGUUAUAUUUGCUUUAGCACAAUCUGGUCUCUGUGCUGCUUUUAGCCGGAGUAAGUCUGAUGCUUUUCUAGUUUCCUGUUGACUCUUUUGUUUAUUCUAGUUCUAAUUCGGAUUUUUUUCUUUUUGUUGAUAGCAACAAAUAAGCGUAUAUGCUUCUUGAACAUAAGCCCCGAUGAAGUGAUCAGGAGCUUAUUUUAUAAUAAGAAUAAUGACUCUCUCAUCACGGUUUCCGUUUAUGCGUCAGACAGUUUCAGUUCCUUGAAAUGCCGGACCACUCCAAUAGAGUAAGAAAUGUACUUCCAUGUGAACGCUGAAGUUUUCAAGCAAACUUAAUUCUUCUUGUGUAUAGUUCACACAAUAAUGUACAUAUGUGCACAUACAUUUAUCUACACAAUGUGUGUGUAAAGGUUCUGAUAAGUCCUAAACAACUGAAGAUACAUGUUGACUUUCUUACCUUAAUUAUUAGCUUGUAGUGUGUGAUUUUAGGGUCAACCUUUGCAUGGUUUUCUUGGUAACUAUGGAAAUUGUACCAUGACAAACGUUUCUAUGUUGCUAAUACCUAAAUCCAUAAACUUAAGUUUUUCCUUUCUAAUUCAGUUCCGUGCAGUUCUUACUAUGACUAAUUUUUUGGACUCUGCCAGAUAUAUCAGAAGAAACCAGCUAGAUGCUGGUUAUUCUCUCUUUGAGACCGAAUCAUUAAAAUGGCCUGGUUUUGUUGAGUUUGAUGAUGUCAAUGGCAAAGUUCUUACAUAUUCAGCACAGGAUGGGUAAGUCACCCUCUUGAUGCUUUUCUCUUUACAAACCCUAAUCCAUCUGAUUUAUUUUUUUGCUUACAGUGCUUACAAAUUGUUUGGCAUGCUUACAGUAGUUACAAAGUGUUUGACCUGAAGAACUAUAACUUCUUGUACUCCAUGUCGGAGAAGAAUAUUCAGGACAUCAAAAUAAGGUUUGGUUCCCUUCUUCAUUAAACAUGCAUGUAGAUUAUUUUAUGCAUCUGAAUCUUUUCUUUUCAUAAUCUGAUAUUCGAAAAUCAUGCAUUUGAACAGCCCAGGCAUCAUGCUGUUAGUAUACUCGAGAACUCCUGGCUAUGUUCCACUCAAAAUAUUAUCAAUUGAAGAUGGAACAGUGCUGAAAUCUUUCAAUCACUUACUUCACCGCAACAAGAAAAUUGAUUUCAUCGAGCAGUUCAACGAGAAACUAUUGGUCAAGCAAGAGAAUGAGAACCUCCAGAUUCUCGACGUGGGCUGUUAAUCUUUAUCUUUCUUGUUCUUGAUUUUUUUUCUUUUUAAAUUUAAGAAGCAUAUUAUAAUUCUUGGAGCAGGUGAGGAACUCAGAGCUGGUAGAAGUCAGUAGGACUGAUUUCAUGACCCCCUCUGCGUUCAUUUUCCUCUAUGAGAACGACCUUUUCUUAACAGUCCGGAACGGGGCUGCCGCAGUUUGGAAUUUGCAGGGAGAGCUUGUCACCUCCUUUGAAGACCAUGUGCUUGGGCAACCUGAUUGCAUUGCUAGUAACAUUUACAUCACUAGCAACCAGGACCUGAUAAUCUCAUACUGCAAGGCUGAAAGCGAAGACGAGAGGGAAGGUAUUUAAUUUCUUGAUUAACUGAAAAAUCAUUGCUAUUACUUUCUGCCUUUUUAGCUUGGGCUUCUGAUAAACAGCUGCUCUACUUUAAAAUGCAAUUGCUGCUUGUUUUGGCAAACAAGAAGCCAUGGACCAUUUGUUUUGGCCCGAAGUUAAAUUAAGCUCUCGAAUAUCAAAUGUAGAAGCUCUAAAUUGAAACUUCUGUUUCUGGUGUUGCGAGAUGUUGGGGAACGACAGCAAGGAAAAAGCUGCAUGUGCUUUUUAAAUAGCUUUACUCAACGGUUCUGCGGAAGUUCAGAACAUGCCAGCAGGCCAUUUUAAACUAAAACAUUUGAUUUUAUGAUCUACAAAGAAACCCUCACAGCUUCUCCUAUAGGAUCUAUCAACAUGAGUCACAUCCUCAGCGGGAAGUGUGUUGCCAAGAUCUGUCCCCGUGAUCCAUCUCUACAGAUCGCGCCUCUCAACCAGGGCAACCCCGGCCGGUCUACCAUCAGGAGCACUAUAAGGGAAGCUCUUGAAGAUGUGACUGUGGUCUUCUACAACGAGGAUCGGAACGAAAUAUAUACUGGAAACAAGAAAGGCCUGAUCCAUGUUUGGUCACUUUCCUUUAGAGCCUCUUUAUAAUAUGCGUUUAACCUACCAACCCACGUUUCCCUGUGCUGUUCCUAAAAGUGUACCAGUUUUUUUUUUUUUUUUCCUGUUGAUCUUUUGAUGGCUCCAGGUUUUCUUAUAGAACACAUCAUCUAAUGAAAACAUCAACAUCGAUCACUAAUGUAUAAAGCACUCAAGUUUGAUUCUGAUUUUAAUUUCGUUCUUAUAGAUUCAACAUCUAGCAUUUUAGUCAGUAAAGAUUGAUUUGCGUAACAAUUAACUCCGCAUUGUUAGCAUUAUAGUUAGAUGUUCUUUUUUUAUUCUAGUUUUUCGGUUUCCAAGUCGGACUCCUAAAGAAAUUUGAAACACUGAAGUUCUGUAGACUUAAGGGAAUCAUGGUCAAUCUUCUUCUGUGUUUAGACUGUUACUGCAACCAAAAUUCGUCUUGAACUUCAGAGAUCAAAUUCUGCAAUUAAAUGUUAGCUUAUCGCAAGUGAUAACUUCUGGUGUUCGCUUGGAACGCAUUACCUAUGGAAAGAUUUAGAUUAAUUGCAGUUGAUUGUGUUGAACUUUAAGUUUGAUUACAAUUUUUUGUUCUCAUGGUUUCGACUAUAACAGUGCUAUUAAAGAAGAACAUUUUUUUAACCAUUAAGAAUUGAGGANGGGGGGGGGGGGGGGGGGGGGGGUGGUGUGUGGUGUGGUGGUGGUGGUGGUGGUGGUGUUCUUGGUGCGGAGGAGAUGAGAGUUUCUUGGCUUGUACUGUAGCUCUUUAAAAUUUGAAGUGUUUUCAGAAGGAAUUAUAUGUGGGUAAAUUGCAGCACUAGUUCCUCAACUUUAUAUCGGGUGUCGUUUCAACCCUUUAAAUUUGAAGUAUUUUUAGAAGAAAUUUUAUGUGGGUAAAUGUAACACCCUGGACGACCCGCAACCCGUCGAUACGAGAUGUUGCUGAGACGUGGACGGCGGGGAGGAUGAGGGGCGCCCGAGCUGGAUUGCUUCUACUGGAUUCGGGUAAAAAAGGGGAANCGAUGAUGGCGGGGAGGAUGAUGGCGUUACAAUGGCAUAAUUGCCUCCGAUAAUGCUAGUCAGCUGAGUUGAGAGCGAGAAGGGAAGAAAGGAUUAAAGAGGGAAAAGAGAGGUGAAGGUAGGAGAAGAAGAUGAGACAAGGGAAGGAAGAAAGAGAAUUGGGAAGAAGAAGCUUUACUAUAUUCCAUAUGUUUUUGUUUACAUCAUAAUUUGGCACUUAUACUACUUAGUGAUUCGUACUGAAAUGAAAAUAGCUAUUCUAUGAGGGCUAUAUCGCAAAAGUGAUAAAAAGAGGUGUCGACUGGUUGGGCUACAAUUCAGUGGGGGCUUGGGCCUUAGUUGGAUUCGACCGGACCAAAGCAUCCUCGUAGUCGAACGCGGGUUUGGGGGCACUUCUUCCUCUCAACAUUUCCCCCCAAUCUAGAGUUUUGGUCUUCCGACCCGCCAGUCUCCGAAGAAUUACUACUUCGCCCAGACUCCAGAUUUUGUGUAUCUACUUCUCCGCUCUGAUCUUCUUCUCCUUCCCUGUUUCGGAGGAUGCCCUAGCUUCCUCAUGUCUCCUCCUCCUUCUCCUCCGACGGCUGGCUGGAGGUCUCCCUAAGCACCUUCGACCUGAUUAGCCUCCAAGCUCACCCUUUUCCAUCUUGCGGCUGCCACUUAUCUCGCCUCUAUUAAGUAAAGUUGCUCCCCCCCCCCUUUUUUUACUAAUUACUUCUACUGUUUAUUCUAUAGGUCUUACAACUCCUCCCCGCUUCAGAAGACUUGUGGCCUCACGGAUCGUGCUCCGAAUCAAAGUUCGGGAACUGGGACUUCGGGAACUGGGACUUAAGAAACUAGUAAUCCUCCCAAGUGGCUGCUCCUUCGUCCAAGUUUUCCCACUUCACCAGCACUUGGCUAGCUAUUCUGUUCCCUUGCUUCAUCAUGCGCCUCUCCAAUAUUCACUCCGGCUAUGCGAGCAGCUGACCAUCUCCCCCGACCAAGGGCACCGUUAGGGUUACUGGUGAGUUCGUUGGGGGGGCUUCUUUUCAACAAUGAUACAUGGAACACCGAGUGGAUCUUGGAUUCUUCUGGUAGCUGCAGUCGAUACACCAUCUUUCCAAUCUUCUCCAUGAUUUUAAAAAGUCCGGAGUAUCGCACGAAGAGCUUCAGGUUUCGCCUAACUGCGACGCUCACUUACCGAUAAAGUUGCAGCUUUAGGUAUACAUACUCUCCUACUCUCCUACUUGUCGGUAUUCUACUUUAUGCGGUUUUGGGGUUCUAGCAGUCUUUCCCUGAGUAGUCGGGUCAUCCUUUCUUGUUCCCUUCCCCACUCUUAUAUUGUAUGUGAUGUUUCCAUUCCUAAAUUCACAACCAAACCAUUGGGCGGCAGAUGUCCGUAGAGAGCCUGGUAGGGUGUUGUUCCCAGCGAGUUGUGGUAAUUGGUGUUAUACCACUAUUCCACCAUACUAAGCCAUUUAUGCCAUGUAUGUGGCUGAUGAGAGCACAUGCAACGGAGGUAAGUCUCGAGGCACUGGUUUAGCCUCUUGGAUUGGUCGUCGGUUUAUGGGUGGUAGGUUGUGCUCAUUAACAAUUUAACUCCCAACAGUUUAAAUAUUUCUUGCCAUAUCUGACUUGUGAACACCUUGUCUCGGUCUGUCAGUAUCGUUCUGGGCAACCCGUGCAGUUUAUAGACUGUGUCGAGGAAGGCUCUCGCGACGCUUGAGGCUGUGAAGGGGUGGGUCAAGGAGAGGAACUUGGCAUACUUGGUGAGUAGGUCUAUCACCACUAACACUGUGUCUUUGCCUUCCAAUUUUGGUAGGGCUUCAAUAAAAUCCAUAGUAAUUUCUCGCCAUGCCCUUGUAGGAACCGACAAGGGUGGAAGUAAACCAGCGUAGGGUUGACCGUUCACUUUAUUUUGUAUGCAAACCGUGCAGUUCUUGGUGUAGUUUUCUACAUCUUGUUUGAGACCUGGCCAGCAAAAGUAUUGUUUGUCUUUUGUAGGUGUGCCACGCCCCCGAGUGGCCUCCCAGGGCCGACGAGUGCAACUGGCUCGAUAUUCUCUCCUUGAUGUCACCUUGGUCCUCCAUGUAAAUCCUUUCCUUGUAUCGUAACAAGCCUUGGGUGUAGGUGUAUUGCGAGUGUGGUGUGGGCUGUAACCGCAAUUUGGCAAUUAUCUGCUUGCACUUCUCGUCAUCCUUGUAGCUGGCAGUCACUUCUGUUACCCAACUAGGGAUCGCCGCCGUGACAGCAGCUGUGGCUCCUUCAAUCCCCCUUCUAAAUAACGAAUCCGCAGCUCUAUUCUUCUUACCUGCUUUGUAAUGUAUCACGUAGUCGAGGCCCAUAAGCUUAACCAUCCCUUUCUAUUGAAAAGCCGUGGUAAUCUUCUGCUCUAAUAAGUGGUUGAGACUUUGGUGGUCCGUCUUGAUUAUGAACUGUCGUGGGCGGAGGUAGUGCUUCCAUUUAUUCAUCGCCAACAAUAUUGCUAGGAACUCCUUCUCGUAGGUCGAUAGCCCUAUAUUCCGUGGGUUGAUGGCCUUGCUAAUGUAAGCGAUCGGUCGCCCUCCUUACGAUAGCACCGUUCCCAGUCCCUGUCCACAUGCGUUCAUCUCUAUAGUGAAAGGUUUGGUAUAAUCGGGCAUCGCUAGUACAAGCGCUUAAGUGAUGGUCCUCUUCAGUUUCUCAAAAGUGGUUGUACUUCCGGACUCCACUUGAAUUGGUCAUUCCUUAACAAUUUUGUUAGUGGUUUGGUCAUUUUGCCGUAGUCCUAGAUAAAUCUCCUAUAGCACCCGGUGAUACCCAAGAACCCCUUGACCCUUAAGGAAAGUUGGUGUCGGCCAAUUCACCAUCCUCUAUCUUUUUCGGGUCCGUAGCCAUUCUCUCCGGGGUGAUAAUAUAGCCUAAAUAUUCCAUGUUCCUUUGGCCAAAGUAACAUUUUGAUCUCUUGGCGUAGAGUCGAUGCUCGCGCAAGGUCUCCAGCACUUUGCCCAAAUGUUCCUUAUGCUCCUCGAGACUCUUGCUAUAGAUCAAUAUGUUGUCAAAAAAACCAACACAUACUUUCUAAGGUACUCCGCAAAAACAUUGUUCAUUAUUGAUUGAAAGAUCGCUGGUGCGUUGGUCAGUCCAAAUGGCAUUACCAAGAAUUCAUAGUGGCCCGAAUGGGUCCGAAAGGCGGUUUUAUAAAUAUCCUCCGGUUUCAUUCUAAUUUGUUGAUAUCCGGCUCUUAAAUCGAUCUUAGAAAAAUAGGAAGCACCACCCAAUUCGUCUAAUAGGUCAUCAAUUAAAGGGAUAGGAUAUUUAUCCUUCACAGUGGCCUUAUUUAAUUGCUGGUAGUCCACACAAAACCUCCAUGAAUUAUCUUUCUUCUUAACUAACAAUACCGGGGGGCGCAUAAGGACUCGUGCUAGGUUGAAUGAUAGCCGACUCCAACAUCUUCUUGAUUUGCCUUUCGAUUUUGUUUUUCUGCUUGUACGAUUAGCGAUAUGGUCAAAUGUUGACUGGGUGGGUGUCCCGUUGUAAUGAAAUUCUAUGGUCUUACCUCUUUCUUGGAGGUAACUCCCUUGGUUCCUUGAACACAUCGUCGUAUCGCUGUAGCACUCUUUGGAUCUUCUCGGGUACCAUCGGCUCUUGUCUUUUGUUGACUUGCAUAAUUCUCACUAUGGCGCAGAAGACCCCUUCCUAGCAGUCCUUGUACCAUUCCUUGGCAGUGAGCAUCUUUAAUUUAUUUCCUUCUGCCAGUCCUUUGAGUAUUAGUUGCUGUCCGUCCUUAUCGAACGACACCGUAUUGUUGGUGUAGUCGAAAGUAACCUUGCCACACAUCCGUAACCAGUCUAUCCUAAGCACCACACUAGAGCCUUCGAGUCGGAUUAUUCUCAAGUCAGCCUUAUAGGGUUGACUAUUCAUCUUCCAAGUGAAUCCCGGGCAUCUCAGCUUGCUCAUUAUUUUGUGGCUGUUAGCAACAGUGAACAGCAAUGGUGCUGCUGACUCAACCUUUCCUUCACCUCCUUAGCCACUCUAAAAUCCAGGACGCUAUGCAUGCUUCCAAUGUCUACCAGUAUCUUCAAGAUCUUGUUUCCUACUUCUCUUUGGAUUUGGAGGGUCUGUUGUUGGUUUUCUCUACUAAGAGCAUUAAAAGAUAAGCCCACUUCCUCAGUCUCCUCUGGUGGGGAGUCCUCUGCCUCCUUCCCAUGUUCGAUUUCUUCUUCUUCAAUCAGACACUCCUCAUCAUACACCUUCAGUACAUUGUCCUCGGCUGGCAUACUGAAUAGGGACUUGUUCUUGCAUUGAUGCCCCGGGUGAUAUCUUUCGCUGCACUUAAAACAUUGGUUUGCUGCCCUUCGUUGUUCCAUCAACCUCCUGCGCUCCUAGUGCAAGUGGUUUGAAUCCCAGGAUAUACCUUGAGUUGGCACCUUGUUAGAUUCCUUGGGUUUGAUCGGACUUGCUCCUGCAGGAGCUCUGGCUCCACAGAAUGUCGUGUAGUUUUUUCCUGGUACCUUGCUAGUUGGCUUAUGCUUCCUAUGCAUUACUAUGAGGGCCCUGUCAUGUAAUUUAGCAGCCCAAAAGCAUCCUCCAGCGUGGUUGGAUGCGAUAUAUUCAUAAAGGGCAUUAGUUCCUCCUUCAAUCUAUUGAUAUAGCAUGCUGUGAAGAACUCUUCGUCAAGAUAUGGGUUGUAUUGUAAUAUCUGUGAUCUCAACUCCUCAAACCUUUCUUGGUAUUUUUCAAUAGACCUGAGUUGUUUAUGGUUGCCAAAUUCACAAAUCAAAUAGCGCUCCCUGACAUUCGCAAAUCGCUUACAGAUGGCUUCUGAAAACUCCUCCGAACUCACCCCAGGUCGAUUGAUAAAGUAUCCUUGCUUCCAAGUGGGCGCCUUCCCUAUAAUGUGCUUAGUAGCCACCCUUAGCCAUUGAGGUCGAGGAAUCUGAUAAAGGUCAAAAUAUUAUUCGCAAUUCUACAACCACCCUUUAGGAUCCUUGCCGUUGAAUUAAGAAAAUUCUAACUUGGGAUAAGAAAGGUACUGUUGAUGAGGCCCUUGAGUUCUUGUCGGCCAAGGUGGUAUCUAUUCUUCCUUGAUCACCUACAUUGGCAGUGGCGUCGGUAGAAUUCCUUUACCCUUGUUAUCUCGGAUAUAAACAGGUGUGUUGCUACUUACCGCUCUGAUAUUCUCUUGACUUCUUCCUGCAGGAUUGCUCCCUAUGGAGCUAUGGGCGGCCUUGAGUUGAGACGGCAGAGCGGAUAUCAUCCUCAACAACUCCGCGUGCAGCCUUUGCUCUUCUUCUCUCGACUCCGCUAACUGAUGAGGCAACCUAUUGAUCCUUGUCUCAUGGUCCGUGCUCAGGUGCUCUAGGCGCUCUUCGAGGGAACUAACUUGGUCGCUUAGAUCCUUCAUUCUUUUGGCCCCUACCAUCUCUAUAUCUCUGGAUGUGAAUUUAAAUUUGUUCUGUCUUUUCUUCCCAAUGGUUGGUUGGCUAGUAAUAUUAUCGAACACUUGAUGCACUCUGUUGGUGUGCGGUUCCCUUGAAUGCUAGAUGCCCGCAGUAUGACUCCGUCCAUAAUAAGUUGGCUACCCUAAGAUCUAGCCGCUCUAAUAUCAGUUUGUAACAUCCCGGACAACCUGCAACCCGACGAUGACGAGAUUUUGCCGAGACAAGGAUAGCGGGGAGGAUAAUGGCGUUACAAUGGCAAAAUUGCCUCCGAUAAUGCUAGUCGGCUGAGUUGAGAGCGAGAAGGGAAGAGAGGGUUAAAGAGGAGAAAGAGAGGUGAAGGUACGAGAAAAAGAUGAGACAGGGGAUGGAAGGAAGAGAAUUGCGAAGAAGAAACUUUACUAUAUUCUAUAUGUUUUUGUUUACAGCAUAAUUUGGCACUUAUAUUGCCUAGUGAUUCGUACUGAAAUAAAAAUAGCUAUUCUAUGAGGGUUGUAUCGCAAAAGUGAUAAAAAGAGGUGUGGACUUGUUGGGCUGCAAUUCAGUGGGGGCUUGGGCCUUAGUUGGGUUCAGCCGGUCCAAAGCAUCCUAGUAGUCGGACGCGGGUUAGCGGACCCCUCCUCUUCUCAACUCUCCGAAUAGCGGGUUUUGGGUCCGCCAUUUCCCCUCGAUCCAGAGUUUUGGUCCUCCAACUCGCAAGUCUCCGAAGUAUUACUACUUCGCCCAGACUCCAGAUUUUGUGUAUCUACUUCUCCGCUCUGAUCUUCUCCUCCUUCCCUAUUUCGGAGGAUGCCCUAACUUUCUCAUGCCUCCUCUUCCGACGGCUGGCUGGAGAUCUCCCUAAGCACCUCCGGCCUGAUCAGCUCCCGAGCUCACUCUUUUCGACCUUGCGGUUGUCGCUUAUCUCGCCUCUACUAAGUAAAGUUGCUACUUUUCUCCCCAUUUUUUUACUAAUUACUUCUACUGUUUAUUCUAUAGGUCUUACAGUAAAUUGCAGCACUAGUCUCUCAACUUUAUAUCGGGUAUCUUUUCAACCCUUUAAAUUUGAAGUAUUUUCAGAAGGAAUUAUAUGUGGAUAAAUUGCAGCACUAGUCCCUCAACUUUAUAUUGGGUAUUGUUUCAGCCUUCAAUCUUUUGAGUUUGGUAUAAGUGGUCCCUAAAUUUUUAGAAGUAAUUUUUUCUUAACCCUUAUGCAUUGGUCAAUUAAUAUAUAUGUAUUUAUCAACAACUUUUUCUAUCAUAUUUUUCAAUCCUACAAUCUAUUAAAAAUUGGACAUCUAAAUUUAAAUUAUGAGACGAAUGAAUAAAAAAUAAAUUCAUGGUGUAGUAAAAAAUAGUUGAACUAGAUAUAAAUGAUAAUUUUUUAAUUUAAGAUAGAAAUUAUGUAGUGUAUUGAAUUCCAGUAUACUUUUCUGAACUUUGGCUAAAUUGAAUAAAGUACGGAGAAAAUGGUGUAUGAGAUUAUUGGAGAAAGUUUAGAAGCAAAAGUUAUGGGUUGAGUGAAAAUUUUAUUGAAUAAGAGGGGUUAAGUUGUAACUAUGUUGGGGCUUAAGGAUAAGAUCUAGCUCUUCUACUCUCUCUUUUGUCUUCUACCCAUACAAGAGAAAAAAAAAAAACCCGUUCUUUUUAUCUAAACCCUUUUUCCUUACUCUUUAACAGCUCUCUCUCUCUUUCUCUUGUAACCCCUCCAUCAAAAGAGGAAAUAUUGGAGAUUUUGGUAGCUUCAAAUUGGAGAAGUUUGGAAGAACUCUCUAAUGGUGGAUCAAGCUUCUUGACUAUUGUGACUAAGGUGAGAUUUAUGAAUUAGAAUUAGAGUUUUAGUUAAAUCUUUUGUAAAUGAGAUAUUUGAGAUCCCUAGGUGUUUCUAAACUAGUUUAAUCAAAGGGUUCACCAUGAUUUUGGGUGUUCUUGAGGAUUUGGAAACCUAAGGUAUGGAAUUGGGGUUUUUGUCCCUAAGAGUGCUGAAAUCAAAUUGAUCUUGUAAAUCCCUAAUUGUAAGAUAGUUUGACGCAGGAGACAACUCCGAUUUGGAUUACGACAAGAUUACAACGUCCGAUUAGAGGAAUUUGAGAAAUUUCAUUCAUUAGGCUUGAAGCGUGCCGAAUCGACAUCAGAGAGCCAAUUGCUUUAACAUCCUAGCAAUUGGUAAUUAACUAAAGUGGAUGGUGCUCUUUGAAAUGGUUUGAUUUAUCCCUAUGUCUAACUCUAUUCAUUGAACAUAAAUGCAUGAAUAUGUGAUUAUGUAUCAUAGGACUUAAGUUAUCCUUUUCCAUAUGAAUUGUAUGCUUCCCAAGGUAAUGAAUAAACAAUUGCAAUUGAGAACUUUAUACUUAUGAUGCAUGAUUUUUGAACCCUAGAGAUACAAGAACUAGUAGGUUGUCUGGACGUAGAAAACAUAGUGAAAUACUAGGUGUCAUUGUGCUACGUGUCGAUCAUGAACCUAGUGAUAGAACUAUGGUUUGGGUGUAACCUGUUGUACAUGUAGAGAACUAUAACACCGUGUUGAGAUUAUACAUGUAGUAUGUACUAGAUGUUCUGUGAUAGUCACAUAUACUGUGAGCUAUUACAUGCUUAGCCAUUGUUGGAUAAAAUUAAUUAAAUACCCAAAAAUCAAUCGUCGCAAAAAUCACAUAGAUUUUUACAUACCUCUUUAUGGUGCGGAAUUAAUGUUGUAAUUACCAGGAUCUGAUCUCGUCUUGUUUUACGAACUCGUUGAUCCGCCAACGUCCUGUCUCAAUUUGUUGCACGUUGUUCUUACUCGUUGCAAUCCGGCUACUAGAGUCGAUCGCCGCCCACCGCCCAAAUCCCUAGGGUUUAUGAUGGUGCCCUAUAGCGAACCCAAAAGAGAGAAUUUUUGUGGAGAGAUGAUUCUUCUUUUUUUUUUAUUGUCUUUUUUCUGUCGUAUAUGGUCAAUACCUCAUGUAUUUAUAGGCCAUAAGGGAGACGUUAAUCCUAAUCAUAUUCUAACUAAAUCUUACAUAGAUAAAGAUUUAAACAGAUUAGGAUUUAUCUGUUAGAUUUAUUCUUUAUCCCAAGUGGACUAGGAAUAUAACAGAUAAUUAUAAAUAUUUAUUUCUUAUCCCAUAUGGAUUAGAAAUAUUUUAGAUAAGUCCCAAUGUGGACGAAUCCUAACAUCUCCCACUCGUACACACUUGAUACUUCUUCAUACUUUCUCAUACCAAAUAUAUUCUCAUCUCGUUCUGCUCUUCGGAUGGGAAAUGAUUGGUGCGAUCAAUAACGAGAAGAAUCAUAAGUGAGGAGUGUUAUAUUAAGCCACCAUCCGAACUAACAUAACACCACAACUCCAAAUCUCGUCUAUACCCCAAAUCAAUGAACUACACCAGAUCAUAGCAUCUCUAAUCCCAUAGAGCAAGCUAGAUCUCUCUCAUUAAUGUAUUUGUUCUCAUGAUUAUAUUGACAACAAAUAUCAACAUAAUCGCCCGGGCAAUGAGUAACAAAUCAUAGGUGUAUUAUCAAAUAAUUUUUCCUUAGAUGCCUCAUGUCAAUCCAUUUCAACUUGACUGCUUUCCUAGACAUGUUCCGCUGGACCGAAUCAAUCAUGGCCCUUGGAUAUCAUGCUAAAGUAGCAUCAUCAAGUAUCCACUUCAUAACAUGGUUCUAAGUCUCAAAGGGUACGAAAGCUCACACAGUGACGAAACGGGAAUCAAUUUCGUCACUCUCUAAAAUAUAGUGAUCGAUCUUGCACAUACGGUAUGAACGUAUACUAUAGUGGAGCUACCUCUAAGGACAUGUCACGCUCAAAACACCAUACAAAUAUCGAUUUUGUUGUAACUCAAGAGAACAAACCUCAAGACAGUCACCUACAUGGUGUCUUCUUUACAUUCGGCUUCAUACAGGCCGAGUAGAGUCGUGGAUCAUCUCUACUGUCCACUUUGUACAGUCCCAUCUUAACUCAUCUAAGGCGACAUUCAAGAUUUAAAUACUCGCUAGCUCUUAUAGCGCAAAGUGGAUCACCUGCAUUACUAAUUGCAUUUAUGUGAUGUUAUUUGUCUCAUCCUGCUCGCUCUCCUCGCGACAAGGUGAUCACCCGUGUGAGAGGGCUGAUCAAGGGCCUGGUGACAUUCAUUCUCACAAAGAUAUUGUGCACUAAUUUAAAAUUUAAUAAACAUGUAUAUGAUUGAAAAAGAUAUCAAAAACAUUUAUUAGCAAAAUUAUUAAUACAAGAUAUAUAAGAGUCAAGUCCUACACAAACCCAAUCCUUUAACAUGUUUAUGAAAAACAUUUCUAACAAGGGGUUUGGUAAAAGGAUCUACUAUCAUAUCAUCAGUAUAUGCAAAUUUAAUUACAAUCUGUCCCUGUGCAAUUAUAUCUCUAAUGAAGUGAUAUCUAGUCUCAAUGUGUUUAGAUCUUCCAUGAUAUUUUGGAUCCUUGGCAUAAGCUAUUGCUGCUUUAUUGUCACAAUAGAUAAUAACAGCAUCAUCAGCAUGAGCUGUUACACUCAAAUUUAUCAUAAAUCUCCUUAGCCAAACAGCCUCUUGUACUGCUGCUGUACAUGCAAUGUACUCCGAUUCUAUAGUCGAUAAGGAGACAUAUGGUUGCUUCUUGCUACACCAUGAAAUAGCAGCUCCUCCAAAUAUAAACGCAUAUCCCGAGGUAGAUUUGCGUUCAUCUUUAUCUGUGGAUCCAUCAGCGUCUGUGUAUCCCGUCAAUCUAAGCUCUCCUCCAUGAUAGCAUAGAGCAAGGUUCGCAGUACCUCGCAGAUAUCUGAAAAUUCUUUUAACUGCUUGCCAAUGUGCUGCACCAGGAUUACUCUGAUAUCGACUAACCAUGCCAACAGCGAAACAUAUGUCUGGUCGAGUACACAUCAUUGCAUACAUCAAGCUGCCGACUACACUCGUAUAUGGGACUUUUUUCAUUUGCUUUCUCUCUUCUUCUGUUUUAGGGCACUGUUCAAGGCUAAGAUAAUGACCCAUUUCCAUUGGAGUGUCAAUAGGCUUCGAAUUAUGCAUUCGGAAUCGCUCCAAAAUUCUUUUGAUGUAAGUCUCUUGAGACAAACUUAAGAAUUUUCGAGAUCGAUCCCUAUGGAUCUUGACUCCCAAUACAUAAUCCGCUUGUCCCAUGUCCUUCAUCUCAAAAGUAGAGGACAACCACUCCUGUGUGGUGAUUAUUAACUCCAUAUUAUUUCCGGCCAACAAGAUAUCGUCUACAUAUAGUGAAAGGAUAAGAAAACUUUUUUCUUCCCUUUUAACAUACACGCAAUGGUCUUCUUCGAUCAUCACAAAGCCUAUUGAAAUAAUUGCUCUAUGAAAACGUUGAUACCAUUGCCUAGAUGAUUAUUUCAAACCGUAAAUAGAACGUUUUAAGCGGCACACUGUGCGCUCUUGUCCUUCGGCUAUAAAACCAGGAGGUUGAUUCAUAUAAAUCUCCUCGUCUAGUUCUCCAUUGAGAAAUGCAGUCUUCACAUCCAUUUGGAAUAGUUCCAAAUCUAAAUGUGCGACGAUAGCCAGAAUCAGGCGAAUUGAAGCAAACCUCACCACUAGGGAGAAUGUCUCUUCAUAGUCUACUCCCUCCUUUUGGGUGUAUCCUUUCGCCACUAGUCGGGCCUUAUAUUUAUCAAUUGAUCCAUCUGCCUUCCGUUUUAUUUUAAAAAUUCAUUUAUUUCCAAUAGUUUUUCGUCCAAAUGGAAGAUCAACUAACUCCCACACAUUAUUCUUAGUUAUGGAACUCAUCUCAUCCUCCAUAGCAGCUAGCCAUUUAUCACAAACUGGUGAACUCAUAGCUUCAGCAUAAGAAGCCGGCUCAUCAACAUCCGUAGAAGCACACAUGAACGAUUUCCCUUCAAUCUCAAAUCGACGACGAGGAACACCUCCACGUUUACUUCUUCGUAAUGAUGGACUUUGUGAGCCAUGGUCAAUCGGCACACUCCCACUGACCAUAGGAUCACUCCCAUUGUUUUGGGCUAUUUCUUCAUGUGGCCUCAGUGCCUCAUUCUCGUCUAACAAUGGGACAUUUCCAUUAGGUUCUUGCAACUCGUAUAGUGCAAGAUCCUUUUUAAUCUCACCAAUGUCUGGAAAAUCAUUCUCAAGAAAAUCCACAUUGCGCGACUCUAUCUUAGUCAUUCCUCCAUCAGGAUGCUUGCCAUACAUCACAUAGCUUUUCGAGCAAUCAGAAUAUCUAAUAAAUAUUUGUUUAUUUGCUCUAGGGCCUAACUUUCCAUAUUUAUGAAAAGUAUUAUGCACAUAUCCUGCCGAUCUCCAUGGUCGUAAGCCUUCCAAAUUUGGCUUUAUUCCAUGCCAUAACUCAUAGGGAGUUGAAGGAACUGACUUAGAGGGCACUCGGUUAAGUAUAUAGGCAGCAGUCAACAACGCAUCACCCCAAAAAUUAAUUGGGAGGUUGGCUUGCGCCAUCAUUGACCUAACCAUUUCCAAAAGUGUCCUAUUCCUCCUCUCUGCAACACCAUUUUGUUGCGGAGUACCGGGAAUAGUUAACUAUUUGCGUAUUCCCUUUUCCUCACAUAGUUCCCUGAACUGGUCUGAUAAAUACUCUCGUCCUCUAUCAGUACGUAGAACUUUUAGAGUUCUUUCUGUUUGGUUCUCAACCUCCACUAAGAAGCGUUUAAAAUAAUCUAAAGCUUCUGAACGGUGAGACAACAAAUAUACCGAACAAUAACGGGAGUAGUCAUCAAUGAAAGUGAGGAAAUAGUACGCGCCAUGGCGUGCUCUCACAUCAUAGGUCUGCAUAUGUCUGAAGGAACUAGCUCCAAUGGAUGAGUUACGUGCCUUACCAAAAGGCUUUCUGCAGGUUUUUCUUGCUAAACAUGGUUCACAAUGAGGUAGGCUAAGCUUAGCGAGUGACCCCAACAGGCCUUCUCUAGCUAGUCGAGCCAUUCUUUCUUGUCCAAUGUGACCCAAUCUCACAUGCCAUUUGAUAGAAUCAGAUACAAUAUCAGAAGAAACUAAUAAAGCAGAAUUAUUGUUAUGAUUAAUAAAAUCCAAGUCCAAAUCUAAGACAAAGAAAUCAUUCUUUAAACAACCAUUACCAUAAAAGUCCUUGCCCAAAUAAAUAUCUAAUUGAGUAUCCGUAAAUUGAAAAGAAAAACCUAAUCUAAGUAAAGCUGAAACUGACAGUAGAUUACAUCGGAUGUUCGAUGCAUACAGCACAUCAUGUAAUAUCAAAUAAUGACCAUUGCACAAUCUAAGUUGGUAUGCGCCAAUUCCAAAGACUUCUUCCUCAGUGCCGUUUCCCAUCAUGACAUAAUGGCUGCUAGCAGACACCUGACGAUAAUCCACAUAUCCUGCUCGAUCUCUCGUUACAUGCUUUGUUGCUCCUGUGUCUACAAUCCAAUCGAAGAGAGCGUGAGCAACAAAAGCGUGCGAGCAUACAUAAAUAAGAUAGUCAGAAUUGGAAUUUACCUUCUUCGGCUCAGUGCAAUCACAAGCGAAGUGUCCCAUAUUUCUACAGUUAUAGCAUUUCACUUUAUUUAAAUUUUUCUUUCCACGCCUGCCUUUGCGGCGCUUCUCAAUUCCGCCCUCAUUCGGCGCGCGAUUCCCAGUCUUUGCAUAUUUAUUUUCUCCAUUUCGGCACUUGUGCUUAGGCCACUUGCCUCUGCGCUGUCCACCGUGGGCAACGAGUGCAUUGGCACGGUUCGCCUCUCUACGCUCCGCUUUCAACUCAAGAUGUCGAGCUAUAUCGUUGAAGGUCUUGAUACUUUUAUUAUGAGUCAGCACAAUCUUGAUUUGAUCCCAAGAUGAAUCUGGUAAGGACCUUAUAAUUGAUUGAACCUGUUGUCCACCAGUGAGCUCACAAUCGGCUGCUUUAAAUGUCGGAUCGUUGGCGCUAACCAUUAAUCCCAAAAGCUCGAGCUGUUAAAAAUACGCAACCAAUUCAAUUAAAGCGUACAGAAACAGUGCCCACGGGUCUCGAUUGUGACUCGGCCCACCUGGCCUCACACCACUUCGAACAUGACUCGGCCCAACCCAGCCUCACGCCAUUUCGAACAUGACUNNNNNNNNNNNNNNNNNNNNNNNNNNNNNNNNNNNNNNNNNNNNNNNNNNNNNNNNNNNNNNNNNNNNNNNNNNNNNNNNNNNNNNNNNNNNNNNNNNNNNNNNNNNNNNNNNNNNNNNNNNNNNNNNNNNNNNNNNNNNNNNNNNNNNNNNNNNNNNNNNNNNNNNNNNNNNNNNNNNNNNNNNNNNNNNNNNNNNNNNNNNNNNNNNNNNNNNNNNNNNNNNNNNNNNNNNNNNNNNNNNNNNNNNNNNNNNNNNNNNNNNNNNNNNNNNNNNNNNNNNNNNNNNNNNNNNNNNNNNNNNNNNNNNNNNNNNNNNNNNNNNNNNNNNNNNNNNNNNNNNNNNNNNNNNNNNNNNNNNNNNNNNNNNNNNNNNNNNNNNNNNNNNNNNNNNNNNNNNNNNNNNNNNNNNNNNNNNNNNNNNNNNNNNNNNNNNNNNNNNNNNNNNNNNNNNNNNNNNNNNNNNNNNNNNNNNNNNNNNNNNNNNNNNNNNNNNNNNNNNNNNNNNNNNNNNNNNNNNNNNNNNNNNNNNNNNNNNNNNNNNNNNNNNNNNNNNNNNNNNNNNNNNNNNNNNNNNNNNNNNNNNNNNNNNNNNNNNNNNNNNNNNNNNNNNNNNNNNNNNNNNNNNNNNNNNNNNNNNNNNNNNNNNNNNNNNNNNNNNNNNNNNNNNNNNNNNNNNNNNNNNNNNNNNNNNNNNNNNNNNNNNNNNNNNNNNNNNNNNNNNNNNNNNNNNNNNNNNNNNNNNNNNNNNNNNNNNNNNNNNNNNNNNNNNNNNNNNNNNNNNNNNNNNNNNNNNNNNNNNNNNNNNNNNNNNNNNNNNNNNNNNNNNNNNNNNNNNNNNNNNNNNNNNNNNNNNNNNNNNNNNNNNNNNNNNNNNNNNNNNNNNNNNNNNNNNNNNNNNNNNNNNNNNNNNNNNNNNNNNNNNNNNNNNNNNNNNNNNNNNNNNNNNNNNNNNNNNNNNNNNNNNNNNNNNNNNNNNNNNNNNNNNNNNNNNNNNNNNNNNNNNNNNNNNNNNNNNNNNNNNNNNNNNNNNNNNNNNNNNNNNNNNNNNNNNNNNNNNNNNNNNNNNNNNNNNNNNNNNNNNNNNNNNNNNNNNNNNNNNNNNNNNNNNNNNNNNNNNNNNNNNNNNNNNNNNNNNNNNNNNNNNNNNNNNNNNNNNNNNNNNNNNNNNNNNNNNNNNNNNNNNNNNNNNNNNNNNNNNNNNNNNNNNNNNNNNNNNNNNNNNNNNNNNNNNNNNNNNNNNNNNNNNNNNNNNNNNNNNNNNNNNNNNNNNNNNNNNNNNNNNNNNNNNNNNNNNNNNNNNNNNNNNNNNNNNNNNNNNNNNNNNNNNNNNNNNNNNNNNNNNNNNNNNNNNNNNNNNNNNNNNNNNNNNNNNNNNNNNNNNNNNNNNNNNNNNNNNNNNNNNNNNNNNNNNNNNNNNNNNNNNNNNNNNNNNNNNNNNNNNNNNNNNNNNNNNNNNNNNNNNCCUCAGCCCCUGCCAGGGCGUACAAUUUGUGCGUACGUACCUCCACGUCCGAUCUCACGCGAUUCGAUACAUAAAAUGUCGCGCCUUUUGCGAAUUUUCCGAAUUGCCACCUUUGACCUCUUAACGAAAACUUCGCAAUUACCAGAGAUCCGUCAGUCGGAUUUUCGAUCCGACAGCACCAUUGCGUUCAGCACGUCGGGGGCAUCAAAACUACGAUCUUAUUUCGUCAGAUAUGGUCACGGAUUCGCAACGGAACCCAUCCGCUCUCUAAUUAAUCCAUAUAUCGCACAUAUACCAAUGUGUAAACCCAUUAAACCAACUUUCGCAUAAGAAAUUGACUUCCCUACCACUAGUAGGGACUCGAAACAUUCUUCACCCUACUCCAUGUCACAAGCACGGAGUACGAGAAGCUUUAGAAUGCACAGAAAAGCAAAGAGCGGAAACCCUCUUUCGGUAAAAAUCCUUUUUCUCGAAAAUCGUGCAUCAGAUCAGAAAUCCGUCAGUGCCAUUGGUUCCAGAAUAGCUGAACCGAUCGAAACGAGCUAUUGGAUCGCUAUGAACGGAGUCCGAUACGCGCCGAAAGCCAACUCUACUCCGUGGCUUCUCCGAAAAACCGGAGUUACUAUUCAUUUAAGUGGAAACUAAUAAUCGCGUAACUUCUCCAUUCUAGCUCAUAUUCUCCUGAAACUUGACGAGUGCUUAUGUAAUUAAAUUACACACAUAAACAUCAUCAACAGAGAGUUUAGUUGCAUUGUCAAAAUCUCAGUCCCUACACUCCCACUGACCAUAGGAUCACUCCCAUUGUUUUGGGCUAUUUCUUCAUGUGGCCUCAGUGCCUCAUUCUCGCCUAACAAUAGGACAUUUCCAUUAGGUUCUUGCAACUCGUAUAGUGCAAGAUCCUUUUUAAUCUCACUAAUGUCUGGAAAAUCAUUCUGAAGAAAAUCCACAUCGCGCGACUCUAUCUCAGUCAUUCCUCCAUCAGGAUGCUUGCCAUACAUCACAUAGCCUUUCGAGCAAUCAGAAUAUCUAAUAAAAAUUUGUUUAUUUGCUCUAGGGCCUAACUUUCCAUAUUUAUGGAAAGUAUUAUGCACAUACCCUGCCGAUCCCCAUGGUUGUAAGCCUUCCAAAUUUGGCUUUAUUCCAUGCCAUAACUCAUAGGGAGUUGAAGGAACUGACUUAGAGGGAACUCGGUUAAGUAUAUAGGCAGCAGUCAACAACGCAUCACUCCAAAAACUAAUUGGGAGGUUGGCUUGUGCCAUCAUUGACCUAACCAUUUCCAAAAUUGUCCUAUUUCUCUUCUCUGCAACACUAUUUUGUUGCGGAGUACCGGGAAUAGUUAACUAUUUGUGUAUUCCCUUUUCCUCACAUAGUUCCCUGAACUGGUCUGAUAAAUACUCUCGUCCUCUAUCAGUACGUAGAACUUUUAGAGUUCUUUCUGUUUGGUUCUCAACCUCCACUAAGAAGCGUUUAAAAUAAUCUAAAGCUUCUGAACGGUGAGACAACAGAUAUACCGAACUAUAACGGGAGUAGUCAUCAAUGAAAGUGAGGAAAUAGUACGCGCCAUGACGUGCUCUCAAAUUCAUAGGUCCGCAUAUGUCUGAAUGAACUAGCUCCAAUGGAUGAGUUGCUCUACGUGCCUUACCAAAAGGCUUUCUGCAGGCUUUUCCUGCUAAACAUGGUUCACAAGGAGGUAGGCUAAGCUUAGCGAGUGACCCCAAUAGGCCUUCUCUAGCUAGUCGAGCCAUUCUUUCUUGUCCAAUGUGACCCAAUCUCGCAUGCCCUUUGAUAGAAUCAGAUACAAUAUCAGAAGAAACUAAUAAAGCAGAAUUAUUGUUAUGAUUAAUAAAAUCCAAGUCCAAAUCUAAGAGAAAGAAAUCAAUUUUUAAACAACCAUUACCAUAAAAGUUCUUGCCCAAAUAAAUAUCUAACUGAGUAUCCGUAAAUUGGAAAGAAAAACCUAAUCUAAGUAAAGCUAAAACUGUGAGUAGAUUACAUCGGAUGUUCGGUGAAUACAGCACAUCAUGUAAUAUCAAAUAACGACCAUUGCGCAAUCUAUGUUGGUAUGCGCCAAUUCCAAGGACUUCUUCCUCAGUGCCGUUUCCCAUCAUGACAUAAUGGCUGCUAACAAACACCCGACGAUAAUCCACAUAUCCUGCUCGAUCUCUCGUUACAUGCUUUGUUGCUCCUGUGUCUACAAUCCAAUCAGAGAGAGCGUGAGCAACAAAAAUGUGCGAGCAUACAUAAAUAANACCAAUUCACUUAAAGCGUAUAGAAACAGCGUCCACGGGUCUCGAUUGUGACUCGGCCCACCUGGCCUCACGCCACUUCGAACAUGACUCGGCCCAACCCAGCCUCACGCCAUUUUGAACAUGACUCGGCCCACAUGGCCUCCCGCCACAGGGCAGGAUGCUGGCCCAUUUAAGCCAACAUUAAGUUCUCUUAUUAUAGCAGACAUCACCCUUAAGUGCUCUACCAUAGAAUGCUUCGGGUCCAACAAGUAUUGAUUGAAUUUGAGAUUCAAUGCACGAAGUCUUGUGGUCGAUGUGGCCCCAUAUUUCACUUUUAGCUGCUCCCACAUAUUUUUAGCAGUCUCAUAAUUCUGAAAUUCUUUAAUCAAAUCAUCGUGCAUACAGCUCAACAUUGUAUAGCGUGCACUUCGAUCUUUCUCAAGCCACUCGUUGUAGGCUUGCAAAUCGCGACGGUGUUGAGCCGUCGUGUACUGUUGGUUAAAUGACUAAGUAUUCCUUUCUCAUUAAGGAGAUAUUGAAUUUUCCUAUGCCACAUGUCAUAAUUCGUUCCAUCGAGCCGAUUUUGAUUUAACGAAUCCACGAUGGAACAAUUUUUGGAAGCUAUUUAUCACUACAAUAAUGCACAUAAUUUUAAAUUAGGCACAAAUAUCCACAAUAUUAUUCUCAAUCCAAUUUGAUUAUAAAAUUUCUCACUGCAUCUUUAAAUCGAAAAUUUCGCCUUUGAAAAGACUAAUAAUCAUCUCAUCCAAUGCAAAAAAAAUAAUAAAUCAAAUUAAUUAAGAAUAAAUCCACGUCACAAAUUAAAUGAUGAACAUUAUGCAAUCAUUAUGCAAUUUAAUCAAAAUAACACAUUGCAAUUUAUGAAGCAAUCAUAACUUAUAUAAGACAGCAAGAAAUAAUAUAUAAAAGUUAACAUGUAAAUUUUAAAGAAGCAAUAUUGAUCCUAGUGGUUUGAUGAAGUAGGCCUAAAGCUUAGGGUUGAGGUAGGGGUGUAAAACGGGCCGGGCGGCACGUGGCCCGCCCGGCCCGGCACGGCUGCGGGCCGGGCCGGCAGCACUCGGGCGAUGCUUGGCUAUUUUGAAGACGACGGCCGGCACGGGCGGCCGAAAGGGCUUGGGCCGUGCGCUGGGCGUAGGAGAAGGCCGUGGUCAGGCACGGCACGCCGCUUGGGCCGUGCAGCCGGCCCACGGCCCGAGAACCAGGCCAAGGCAAGUUGCUUGGCCUGGGGUUUUGCUCUCCUUGGGUGGAGUGCCUUGACUGUCCAAGGAUGAGCUCCUUCCCAAGGUCUGCCUAGGACCUUGGGGGUGAUUUUGGCAAUGGACAAGCAAUUUUGGUCAUUGGCCAAAACCUUCUCAACUUUUUUUUUUUUUCAAAAAAGAAGUCAAAUAUUUAAUAAAUUUAAAAUUAUUUUUUAUUAUUUUUAUAAUUUUAUUUUUUAAUCAAAAAUCUCGCUUUAUAUAAAUAUAUUUUUGUUUAUUUUUUUUAUAUUUAUGUAUAUUUUAAAAAAUAAAAGGGCGGCCGGAGCACAGGGCCGGCCUCGACGUGCCCUGUGCUUCGGCCAGGUGGCCGUGCUGGCCGGUGUAGGGUUCGGGCUGCCGGCCGCCCGGAUUAGCACGGGCCGGAGCACGGCAUCUAUCCGCCGUCGGCCGUGAAUGUGGGUCGUGACGGCCGGCAGGCACCACAUUACAGCCUAGGUUGAUGAGGUAGUUUCACAGCCUAUAGAACAUGGUUUUACCUGUUUUUAUUUUAGUUUGCGCCAUAAGAUUCCAUCGCGGUUGGACUUGGCCCUGUUGAUGCUAUAGACUAAUAAAACUCAUGGAUUUUAAUUCUUCAUGGGUUUUGUCUAAUAUGAAAUCUGCGAAUCCAGUAAUACAAAAAAAUUCAAGCUUAUUUUAAGCUGUUGGUAAAGAUAGAUUCCACCAGAUUUAUGUAUAAUAAUUAAUGGGGUCUAAGAUUGUUACAAUUUUCAAAUUCAAAGUUCAAAAUGUAAAAUAAAUUUUAAAAAUUUAAAUUAAAAUUCAAAUAUAAGAUUAAAAUUUAAAUUUAAAAUUAAAUAAUCUAAUUUAUUUUAUGUUUUAAAUUUGAAAUUUAAUUUGGAUUGUGAAAUUUAAAAUUUAAAUUUGAACUUUAAUUUUAAUUUAAGUUAUCAUUAACUUUAAAUUAAUUAAUAAUCUUAAUUAAAUUUAAUUUUAAAUUUAAUUUUUAAAUUUCCUAUUUAAAUUUAAAUUUAAUUUAGUUUAAUUUUAAUUUUUGGAAAAUUGAAAUUAACAAUUAAAAUUAAAUUAAUUUGUAACUUUUGAAUUUGAAAUUGAUUGACUUUUUGAAAUCGUUGAAUUUCAGUUCGAAAUUCAACUUUUUGAAUUUGAAAUUUCAGAGUUGAAUUUGAAUUUCAUAAGAUUGAAAUUUGAAAUUUAAUGUUGAACUUUUGAAUUCUGGAAUUUGAAUUUGAAAUUUGAAAUUUGAAAUUUGAGCAUGAAUUUAAAAUUUGAAAUUUGAAUUUGAAUAUUGAAUUUUGAAGGGAAAUUUCAAUUCAUUUAAAUCAAAAUGAAUUGAAUUUUAAUUUUAAUUUGAAUUUAAUUAAUGUUGAAAUUUUAAAUAGAAUUUAUAAUCUUUGGGAGCCCAAAUGUGGAAUUUUUUUUUUUGGUUAAGUGGUUAUAAGUUUACUCUAUUUUUUUGGAGUAUAGUUUAUAAACUAUACUCAAUUAGUUAUUUUUUUUUUUUCGUCCAAACACUUCAUAGGUAUUUUCCUAUCGGGCCGUAGCAUAGAUUAACUUGCUACGUUUUUGAGGGUAUCAAGUGUGUCCUUAAUUUGGUCUCGCGAAGAAAAGGUGUCUUUGCUUGCAUGCACGCCCAUCGCGGACGGGCUCCCGCAUGCCCGUAGGCCCAACUCGAGCGGGUCUUCCGCGAUGGGCUCCCGCAUUCCCGCAGGCCCAACAAGGGUGGGCCACCUAGUAAGCCCAGCGCGGGCGGCCUCGCAAGGCCGCCGGUCUUGCGCAUGCAGGCCGCUGCAGGCCUUGUGCAUGCGGGCUGCCGCAGGCCCUACACGGGCAGGUGCUGGAGGCCCAGCGCAGGUGGCCUCUCAAGCCUACAGGCAGGACGUAGAUCCUGCGCAUGCGACCCUCCGCAAGCCUGGCACGGGUUAGCCUCCAAAACCCAAAGCGGGCAGCAUGUCGGUUAAUUUGCAAAGAUCAAGGAAGCAAUCAUAUGUGAUGUUGACUUGCCAAUUGCGAAUCAAAACUUCACCAACAAUAAUUUUUAUAUUUUUUAACAACAUAAAAAUAUAUUCGAUGUUAAAAAAAACGAAUCAUCGAGUUAAAACAAGAACUACAUGGCUCUGAUACCACUGUUGGAUAAAAUUAAUUAAAUACCCAAAAAUCAAUCGUCGCAAAAAUCACAUAGAUUUUUACAUGCCUCUUUAUGGUGCGGAAUUAAUGUUGUGAUUAUCAGGAUCUGAUCUCGUCUUGUUUUACGAACUCGUUGAUCCGUCAACGUCCUGUCUCAAUUUGUUGCACGUUGUUCUUACUCGUUGCAAUCCGGCUACUAGAGUCGAUCGCCGCCCACCGCCCAAAUCCCUAGGGUUUAUGAUGGUGCCCUAGAGCGAACCCAAGAGAGAGAAUUUUUGUGGAGAGAUGAUUCUUCUUUUUUUUUUUGUUGUCUUUCUUCUGUCGUAUAUGGUCAAUACCUCAUGUAUUUAUAGGCCAUAAGGGAGACGUUAAUCUUAAUCAUAUUCUAACUAAAUCUCACAUAGUUAAAGAUUUAAACAGAUUAGGAUUUAUCUGUUAGAUUUAUUCUUUAUCCCAAAUGGACUAUAAAUAUAACAAAUAAUUAUAAAUAUUUAUUUCUUAUCCCAUAUAGAUUAGAAAUAUUUUAGAUAAGUCCCAAUGUGGACGAAUCCUAACACAAAUAAACAUAUCUAAAGUUGUAGAUCUAUUUUUAAGUUGCAAUAACAAAAAAAAAAAAAAAAUCAUACCUCGUUUGAGUGCGCGCGGGGUGUGGGUAGUUCGGGGCUAUUCGUACAGAGUGAGAAGGGCGGCGCAAGGGAGCGACGGGGGUGUGCGGUGAGGUUCGUGUUGGGGAGUAUAACAAAGAGAGAGAGCUCCGUCUAGACCAAGGUGUAGAGAGAGAGAGAGAGGGAGAGGAAGAAAAAUCUGAGCCUAGCUUGGUCUGGACCAAGGCGUAAAGAGAGAGAGAGAGAGGGAGAGGGAGAAAAAUCUCAGAGAUAGAGNUUCAUAGGAUUAUUUUCCUACCGGCGUAGCAUAGUUUAACUAUGCUACGUUUUUAGAGGUAUCCAAACGGGUCCUUAAUCUUGGUCCAAAAAACGGGUUGCUGGCAUGUGCUUGCAUGCAGGCCCAUCGCGGACGGGCUCCCGCAUGCCCGCAGGCCCAACUCGAGCGGGUCUUCCGCGAUGGGCUCCCGCAUUCCCGCAGGCCCAACAAGGGCGGGCCACCUAGUAAGCCCAGCGCGGGCGGCCUCGCAAGGCCGCUGGUCUUGCGCAUGCAGGCCGCCGCAGGCCUUGUGCAUGCGGGCUGCCGCAGGCCCUACACGGGCAGGUGCUGGAGGCCCAGCUCAGGCGGCCUCUCAAGCCUACAGGCAGGACGUAGAUCGUGUGCAUGCAACCCUCCGCAAGCCUGGCACGGGUUAGCCUCCAAAACCCAAAGCGGGCAGCAUGCGGGUUAAUUUGCAAAGAUGAAGGAAGCAAUCAUAUGUGAUGUUGAUUUGCCAAUUGCGAAUCAAAACUUCACCAACAAUAAUUUUUAUAUUUUUUAACAACAUAAAAAUAUAUUCGAUGUUAAAAAAAUGAAUCAUCGAGCGAAAACAAGAACUACAUGGCUCUGAUACCACUGUUGGAUAAAAUUAAUUAAAUACCCAAAAAUCAAUCGUCGCAAAAAUCACAUAGAUUUUUACAUACCUCUUUAUGAUGCGGAAUUAAUGUUGUAUAUAAUUAUCAGGAUCUAAUCUCGUCUUGUUUUACGAACUCGUUGAUCCACCAACGUCCUGUCUCAAUUUGUUGCACGUUGUUCUUACUCGUUGCAAUCCGGCUACUAGAGUCGAUCGCCGCCUACCGCCCAAAUCCCUAGGGUUUAUGAUGGUGCCCUAAAGCGAACCCAAGAGAGAGAAUUUUUGUGGAGAGAUGAUUCUUCUUUUUUUUUGUUGUCUUUCUUCUGUCGUAUAUGGUCAAUACCUCAUGUAUUUAUAGGCCAUAAGGGAGACGCUAAUCCUAAUCAUAUUCUAACUAAAUCUUACAUAGAUAAAGAUUUAAACAGAUUAUGAUUUAUCUGUUAGAUUUAUUCUUUAUCCCAAGUGGACUAGGAAUAUAACAGAUAAUUAUAAAUAUUUAUUUCUUAUCCCAUAUGGAUUAGAAAUGUUUUAGAUAAGUCCCAAUGUGGACGAAUCCUAACAGCCAUGAUCAUAUAACAUAUAGGGUGCGUUUGGUUCGAGUUAUCCUGGCAGGAUUACAGGCAAUCCUGCCAGGAUAACUGUGUUUGGUUAAUCCGCUAUGUAAUCUAGUCGUUAAUGUAGCAUUACAAAUCGAGCAGGAUUACAUCGAAAAUAUUAACGGGAGUGGGGUCGUGUAUCUUGCAUUACUGAAACCCGUUAAUACUACAUAUUAUAUAAAAUGACAAUUUCACCCUCCAACAACCCCAAAUCUAAUUAACAGCAUUAUUUUCAUCUCUCUCUCGUCUUCCCCCCUCUCUCUCGUAUGCCGCUUUCUCUCGCUCUCUCUCUCUCUCGACGUCUCUCUCUCUCUCUCUCUCUCUUUCUCUCUCUCUCUCUCGCAUGAACACCUAUCAUCUUCUAUUGCGUCGUCCUCCCAGGUAAUCAUCACGAUCUCCUUCCCUCCAUUCGUCAUUUCUGCAAAAAAUAAUAUUCAAAUGACCACAACAAGGGUAAUUUUGAAAAAAACUAUACUUUUAUGUCAGGAUUACUAAAUUUUAUUAACUGAACCAAACGUAUUAAUGCUAUAAGCACUGUAAUCUAGUAUUACAUUACUGCAUUAAACCAAACGCACUAAUACAGCAUCAGUAGUAAUCUGAUGCUAAAAUCUAAGAUACCUGGAUAUGUCGAGAUACUUUGUAAUAUUACAUAACUCGAACCAAACGGGCCCAUAGAGUUAUAUUGCCGUAGUUGUACAUGAUUUGAGAUGAGCAUGUUAGGGAUGGGUAGAUUCUCGGAUAUUGUCAUUCUUUUGUUGUAUAUUAUGAUGCAUGAGAGUUGCAUAAUGUCGGAUUCUAUGUUAUCUUGGGAUGAGUAAAUUGCAUGCUCUUGAAUGUGGAAUAGAACUUAAUAUUGCAAGUCAUAACAUUUCAUGUAUAAAAUUGGAUAUUGGUCGUUAAGAACCCUAGAUAUACAUGUGAACUAGUGGUGAGGCUAGAGUAUGGAUUUAGACAAACCUUGUGUAGCACUAGGUGUAUUGAUAGUUGUAGAACUUGAACCUAGUGACAAGAAUUGAGUGAAAUUUCAAGUGCGAAUGACGGUUUGAGUCAUUUGCAUGUAUAGCAUGACAACUAGCACCUUGUCAUUGGGAUUGAAAUAGAUCCCCAAAGGUUGCUAUUGGGAUUGAAAUAAAUCCCCAAAUAUUGUCACAAGGGUCAGUAGUGAGUUCUUUUGGUUGAGAGAACUAGAUCAUACUCGUAUAGUCUGUUACAGCUUGUGGAGGCCACGACUCCACAAGUAGUGAGUUCUAGAGUGUCACACGAAAAAAGCGGGCGAGGAUCACAGUAGAACCUCCCCAGCAAACAACCAUGGUGGUGGCUCGGGUGUGAAAGAUCUCCUCCCCACAUCGCCAGCCAAGGUGGUGGCUCGGGAGUGAAAGACCUCCCUACUUGGCGGUGUGAGUUGGGUUCGACCUUAGGAUGAGCUGGUAUGAUUGGAUCAUGAGGUAACAGAGGAAGAUAUCUGAGUAUAGUAAGUCUUGUUUUUGGCUACCUUGUGUAGUAUUGUUGUAGUGUCACAUGGUUGGUGACGGGUCGAUUAUGCCUCCUCAACAAACAGGCAAAGGUGGGUGAUUGGGUCGCGUAGCGCCUCCCCACAUGGCUGAGAGGGGUGAGUUGGGCUUGACCUUAUAGCAAGCUUCCUGAUUGGGUCAAGAAUAAGUAAAGGGUCAAGUUGAGCAUAUUGAGCCUUGGAACAUAUCUUUACUCGUAAAGGUAUAGUAGUGUUUAUUCCAAUUUAUGUAUAGUGUAGUUAUUUACUGCUUCUUGAUUUUUGUAUCUACUUAUACUUGAUUAGACAUAGUAGGAAAGUCGGUGAGGUUGGCAGCCGAACACAUUGGAAACUUCUUUUAAUUCUCACCCCUAUUUUGCAGAGCCAACUAUAAGCGAAGUGGCAUCAAACCGAGGCGUGGGUGUUGCGUCUUAGAUUGCAAGGUCACCAAGUGUAGGUUACCCAUGUUCAAGUAAAAGAAAAGAUUGUAAAGGUAUUUGGAACGAAAAUGUAAUUGCAAACAAAUAUUGUAUUUUAAGGAAAUGACAUGUACCAAAUGUUAUAUAUCUAAGUUGGAAAAUAUAUGUAUAAAUGUGAUUGUUCCAAUAUUGUAAUAGUUAGAUUUACAAACUCGCUCUUGUGAUAUGCCCUCAUACAGAACUGUGUUAUGUUGUUUUUUUGUGUGAAAUUCAAUAUAUUUAGUUUUGUUUACGCCUUGGACAGAUAAAAAGAAUUUUGUCUGUUCGGCGAGUUUGUGCACGUGCCUAUGUAGCCUCCACUGUGAAACAGGCAAGGCGUGACAAACUAAAAUAAAACACUGAAAAAUUUACACCCUGUUUGAUUGGGGGUUAAAAGGGGGAAUAAGGGGGUUAUCCUCUCCUUUAACCCCAAACAAAAAAUUUUGGGGGUGGGGUUAGCAACCCAGGAAUAGGGGUGGGAUUAAGUUAAACCCCUAUUCAAUUUUUUAAUAUAAAUAUAAAAUUUAAUUUUAAAAUUUAAAAUUUUAAAAAUUUAUAUAUUUAAAUUUUAGAAUUAAUAUUUUUUUUAAAUUUAAAAUUUAAAAUUAUUAUUUUUAAUUAUUUAAAUUUUAAAAUUGAUAUUUUAUAUUUGUAACUUUAAAUUUUUUAAUUUGAGAUUUAAAAAUAUAGAUAUUAAUUUUGAAUUUUAAAUUUUAAUUUUUAAAUUUUAAAUUAUUAUUUUUAAUUCUUUAAAUUUUAAAUUUGACAUUUUANUUGGAUAAGCAUAAAUUUCUUUUCUAUUUUAGAGAUAAAAAAAUUAAAUAAAUUUUUAAUUAAAAUAUAGAUUCACAGUAGGUAUCUUUCAGUUGGUAAAAAUUUGGAUAAGUAUAUUAUUUUUUCUAUUUUAGAGAUAAAUAGAAAUUAAAAGCUUAUUUCAUUACGUUAUUUAUUUUACGUAAGAAAAGAGAAUCAAUAUUUUUUUCCCGCCAAAAAAUGGGUCUGUCGACAGACCCAAAUUUGUAAUACGUGCUUUUAUAUAUAGUAUAGAUAGUCCGGUUACUAUACUAUCGAUAAUACAAGGCAUUUGGUGGUAUCGAGUUUUCCACCGUUAGAUCUACCCUUUUGACCAUUUUCACCUGUUAGAUCAUACUAUUCAACUAAACACCCACUCAACUCUAGAGGUCCACUAUCAUUCCAACCGGGGAUCAUUAUAAUCCUAACCACAUCACUACAACAGAAUUAGGUUAUAGCGACACAUUUCUGGGACACUUUUUUUGUAAGUGUCUCAUUUAUGCCAAAAUCUUUAAAAAAUUCUACUAAAGCAUAUAUAUAAAGCUCAAUCCAAAAAAAAGUAAAAUAUUACUUUACUCAACCCACCCCACCCAGCCCGUUUGUCCUGAUUACAAACAGAAAAGGAAAAAAAAGAAAAAAAGAAAAAUAGAUCACCAUCUUUCCUUCUCCCCUCACUCAAUCUAUUGAAACCCUAGAUGAUGAGCCCCUCGUUCUCCUCCUCCUCCGUGCCGCAGCCGACGAGGUAGGGUUCCGGCGGUUGCUAAAUUCUUUAAUAAGUGUUGAUAAAUUAGCAGUAUUCUUUUUAAGUUAUACCGUCACUCUUCAAGUGUCACUAUAUACCUAGCGACCCCAGAUAUAACAACACUUUAAAAAAUGUCGGUAAUUUAGCCAGCAACAUUUUUUAUGACUUAUGCUGACUUUUAAAAGUGUCGCUAUAAACCGUUUUUGUUGUAGUGACACUUCCCUUCAUCCAAGGGCCGAAACCUAAUAACACUAAGCGUUUGGUACUAUUAAUAGUAUAGUAGCCUAAUCUAUUUAUAUGUAAAUAAAUAAUAGCACCAAGAAUUUGGAAGUGUUGGUGCUACCAAGUUUUCCACCAUUAGAUGCACUUUGAUCAUUUUCACCUGUUAGAUUAUGCUAUUCCACCAACCACCCACUAAACUAUACUAGGAAACCACUAUCAUCCUAACAACACAAAUCUUAAUCUAAGGGCCGAAAACUUAAUAGCACUAAUGAUGUGGUGCUAUUGGAAACAUUCUAGCCUUAUAUAUAUAUAUAUAUAGCUAGGUUACUAUGUUUUCAAAAGUACAAAUUCUUGCAUACUUAAGUUGUUUUGUAUGAUGGGACAUUCGAUUUGACGAUCAGUUCAUUAGACAUGAUCUAUAGUGUUUGAACUAUCUAUAAACCAAAUUUAUAAUUUUUUUUAUGCUUUGUUUGCCUACAGAACAAGCAGUCUCAAAAUGAACGGUUGAAAAUAAAAAUGUCAUAAAAAACAGCGAUAAAAGAUAAAUUUCAAAUUGAAAGUAUUGAUCUUACUCUUGAUAGUGUGUAAAAUUUUUAAAAAAAGAUUUGGUCUCUAGAUCUUGAAUUUGAUAAUCGUAUGAUCAUUUUUUAAUAGAUUUUUAUUUUCAGACAUUCAUUUUUGGCUAAAUUACAAAAAAUCCCCUGUCAAAACCCGCUUUUUCACUUCCCCCCCCAUCAUUUAAAAACCUACACUUUGCCCCCUUGUAAAAUAAAAAAUGUGCACUUCACCCCCUACCGUUAGGGUUCCGUUAUAAUAUUUUUUUUAUACAAAAAAUAUCCCAUCGCUGUUGCUUCGAUGGCUUCCGGGACGGCGCCCUCGCCGGCCUCGCUCUCCUCCACGAGCUCAACCUCCUCUUUGACCGCCCCCUCGAUGCCAUCUUCCUCAACUCCAACCGCCUCCGCCGCCGCCACCCCAUCCCCGCCAACCUCGGCGACUCCCCGGCCCCAUCGUCGUCCUCGCCCACAACAAACUCGGCGGCUGCAUCCCGCCCUCCAUCGGCCGCAUGGCCUGUUAGUUAUAUGCCCUAUAAGCCAAUCUUGUCAUAACUUAAAGGGUUAAUAUCAGUGUACUUUUCUUUUAUGAUUAAAUCUGGCAUUCUUCAUUUAUAUUACUGCCAAAUGCAUAUUUAUGAAUCGUCCAUAGAAUUAAUAGUAGAAGAAUUAAAUUUCUAAGAAGUUAGAAAUUUGACACNUAAAUUUGAGAUUUAAAAAUAUAGAUUUUAAUUUAAAUUUUAAAUUUUAAAUUAUUAUUUUUAAUUAUUUAAAUUUUAAAUUUAAAUUUAAAUAUAAUAAUUGGGGCAAAAUUAUUAUUUUCUAUUUAUAAUAACCCACUAUUUUUCUUAUAUAUCCCACCUACUCCAACCAAACACUAUUUUAUUUAUAUCUGGACUAAACUCAAUUCUCAAUCAAACACAAAAUUACUCUAACCACACCUUAACCCUGAACUUAACUCUAUUCCCGGAAUAACUAGUUAUUACUUAACCCCGAACCAAACGAAGUCAUAGGGACUUAAAAAAAAUCCUUAUUUAAAGGGAUGGGUCUUGAAUGUUGGAAUCACAAGUUUGAGGACCAAUGAAACUUGACUCAAAAAUGUUCGGAGACUAAUAGGGCAUCUUUCUCGAUGUAUUAAAGUUGAAAUAUAUGAAGACCCCUCAUCUAUAGGACAUUCUGAAAUUGCGCCCUCAACUUUAAUAUUUUUGAUUGGGACCCACUCGACUUCUAUUUUUUUGGAGUUAUUAUCUCAUACACCAGCAAAAGUACAUUUCAUGAAGUUAAUUUAAGAAAAUAGAGUACAGGAGCCUCAUAUAAACCAGUAAGUUCUAAAACCACAUAAUAAAAAAUCAUGUGAUAUAACCAAAUUGGAUGCUAUCCUAAAAUCUAUACAUAGUCUAAUAACUUGUUAAGAUUUUAGAACCAUCUUUUAAGUACACAUUUGGCUGCGCAUUUUGCGCGCAGUUUAGUGUGCAAACCUAUGUGUGGAACUCUUUAAUUAUGAAGAUGCAAACUAAACCCAAUGUUAAGUUCCUGGGAACUAUGUAGAUCUGAGAUGGGCCUGCAUUAAUUGGAUUUUGGACCCAAUAUAUAGAAGCAGUUUCCUCAGUUAGCUAUACAAGGUAGAUGCAUUGUUGCGCGUUAUUAACAAACAGUAUUUUUUCGCUCAUUCAAUUUUUUUGCUCAGUAAUAUCGUGAAUUUGAUUCUCACCUUCAAUUAGUGGGAAAGAGUAAGAUGCCGUCCAAAUAUAGUCCUGAAAUGUCUUUAUUGUUUCAACUUCAAAGAUACAAUGCAUGUGGAAUGAUUAGAGAUUCACGAGCAAUUUUGAUACGAAGAGCCACACCAUAUCCAAUGAUUAGACCUUCGCAAAUGAAGCCAUUAAGUAUUAUUGUGUGUUGCAGAAUUAUUUGGCCUAGCUAGGAUGGUCGGAGCAUUUAAAAAAAAUUGUUUUUUUUUGCAAAACUACUAGUAAAUUUUUAUGAAAUAACAUUUAUAACAGUAAUUGUCUAAUAGUAAUGAAUAUUUUCAGGUUACCUCGUAAAUAAUUAAUUAUUUUUCAGCACGGAGUAGCAGCUCAAAAAACCAAAAGAUAUUUACUAGCUUAGUUUUGCGUGAGAAAUAUUAUACACACUACAUAGUAUCGUCACAAUCAUUUUUCUUCAUUUUUUUUCGGUUUAUUAUUAUGUUUUUUUAUCUUACCCGCAUAUGUAUUAAACCGAAGAUUAAGAAUACAAACCUUAAAUUUAGGCCCAUAUAGUGACUUGAAUCCCUAAAAGUGCUUAAUUUCGUGAAAAAUAUUUUGUUUCGUAAUAAUUAUACAGUAUGAAAUGUACCUUAAACCAAUUAAUUCCAUUCUAUCCCAUGGAUAGCAAGGUAUCUAAUUAAGAACAAUCUAAUUUUUUAUAUUAAAUUAAUGUGUAAAAUUUUUUGCUUUUUUACUUUAAAAUAACUUGAAAAUCUUUGAUUGAUUAUUGUUAUUUCUAUAUAAAAUAAUUGUGUUAGACUGAUCGUUUCUAACACAAGCGGUAAAAGACUUAAUGAUUGGUAUUCGAGAAUCCAGAUUCGAAAAUAUCUCGAUUCGAAACUUAAUUAGCAGCUUUAUAUUUUCAGCUAAGUUUAUUUAUUUUAAAAAAAUUUAAUAGAUAUCCAAAUAGGCUCUUACUAUCGUGCAACUUUAGAUUCUUGGCUCUAGUAUAAAAUUUUCAAUGCAAACGGGGGCUCAAACUUCCGAUCUGAAAGUCGGCACUGAGUUAUGUGAUUACCAAUGGUGUGGUGGGUCCGCUGCAUCUGGGGAAGGAAAUUUGUUUGGACUUGCAGUCGUCAGUCAUCACCCACCCUUUUCUUUUUGGGACGUCGGCAGGUGUGUCCUUAUCCAAGAACAGGCAGAGAGGACAGACAUAGAUCAGAGCCAGAAGACCCAACACAUACAUGCUAGCUACCCUGGGCCCCAUUUAGGCCCGAUUACCCAAUUAAAUCAAUCUAUCUACAGUUUAGGGGCCCACAUCAUGCCUGACCCAUGCAUUUGGUGGGCCAGGUAUUUUCACUUGCACGGUCAACGCCAACUUCUGCGCACCUUACACAUUCUGCGGCCUAAUUCGCAAUGCUGUAGAGUACAGUAUUGUUUAAUUUUUUAUAAAAGUGCAAGUAUACUUUGACCUUAUUGUCAUUUUUUUAAAAUUUUUUAAAGUAAUUUUUCUUUUAUUUAUUGAAAUAUUAUGGAAGUGGAUGGGAGAUUGAUCGCAAUACUUGCAUUUAAGGUGUUGUUUUACUUUUAUUAUUUUGUUUUCUUAAAAGAAGUUGCCAACAAACCAUGACAAAAUGUAGGUGGAGAAAUCACAGAUUGACGCGUGAUGUAGUUCGAUGUCCCGCGAUGUGCCGACGGAAUCUGACUUUGUCUAAAGUGCGGACCGGAGAGGGAACGACUCGGACGGGUUUAAUUCCCGAGAGAUGGUCUCGAGAUCUUCACAUACGAGUCAAAGGCCUAAUGAGGUUUCGGUUUUCAAGCUUCGGUUGCUGCUAGUCCGGGCCGAAAUUUGAUGGAAGAGGACUAUCGUACAAUGGCGAUCCUCAAAAAGAAGAAAACCACACGGUUGGAGAUAUGCGCGUGAAAAUGGGUUCAUCGGUGAGGAUGAUGUGGUCCGGCAAGGUACAAGAUGGUUGUCGUAGGUGGUCACCGUCGAGCGAGAUGGUGGACAAAAGUGGUGGCGGCACAGUUAAUGGUACUUCUAUAUUUAGAUUACAACUACUUCUAGUGUGAAGAAGUAAAAUUUAAUUAGGGUUUCUUGUAAUGAGUUUUGGAUCUUUUCCUUGUAAAUGUCCUUUUUCUUUUUAUUGGAGUACAUCAUCACAAUUACUGGAGUGGUUCCCACAAUUUGUUUUCAAUGAUGCGGCUUCCAAAUCGACAAUCGACUUUGUUAGACUUGAUCUACACUAUUGCAAAUAUUUGGAAACUAAAUUUCAGAAUUUUUCGACAUCAUUUGGCUAGUGAUCAAAAGGUCUCAAAAUUGACAAUUUUAAUGAUAGAUGUGAUGUAUUUGUAAAUUUAACGAUGUAAAACAAUCCAAAUCAGAUAAAAUUUUUAUAGAAAAUUCUUUUUACUAUUUAGAGUAAGAUCAAUACCUCUGANAUAAAAAAAAAAAAAAUUUCGCUGCAUUAAAUGCACAUGUAGAUGCAUACAUUUCCUUAUAUGGCCGACACCCUCAACGAGAUCGUCAUCCUCGACGACGGCCUCGCCGCUUGCGUCCCGCCCGAGGUCGGCCUCCUCUGCCGCGGAUGAGGAGGAUGAAGGAGAAGACAAAAAUGGCGAAGGGCAAAAUGGUCAUUUUGUUAUACCGUUACCCCCUGUGAACAGUUUUAUUUUACAUGGGGGCAAAGUGUAGGUUUUUAAAUGACAGGGGGGAAAGUGAAAAAGCGGGUUUUGACAGGGAGGUUUUCCGUAAUUUAGCCUUCAUUUUUAUAUCCAUUUAAUGCAUAAGAGAAAAAUAUUAAAAAUAUAUGAAAUUUGAUUUCUAGAUAAUAUAAAUAGCCUAAAUUAUGUUCAACAAUAUAAUCAUUUAUUUGCAAACUUUAUAAUUAAAAAUAAAUUAGUAAUAAAUUGAACUGUUUGCUACGAAUAGUAGCCCUGCAAAGCUCUUGAUAUAUGGACAUUUUCUUAUGUUUGUUUCACAUGAUCACGUUGCUUUUGAAUGGAGACUCAGACGUGGCAAUAGCUAAAUUAGGGAUGCAAACGGGGCGGAUCCGGGGGCGGGAGAGUUCCCCCACCUCCCGCUCCAUUUCUUAUCGGGGCGGGGCGGAUUCGGGGUGGGUUACUUNUUUUCGAUGUUGCUACUUUCGAAUCGUCGAUCGGCUCCGUUAAAUUUGAUCUAGAGUAUUUGAAGUACCUAGAAAAUAAAUUUUAUGAUUUUACGAUAUCAUUUGCCUAGUGAACGAAGGGGCUCAAAAUCAACGGCUGAAAAUAAAAAUCUUACAAAUUGUAAUAAUAUGACAUUAAAAUUUUAAAUCUAAGAUAUUGAUCUUGUUUUAUAUAGUAUAAAGAAUUUUCUAUCAAAAUUUCAUAUGAUUUGGAUAUUUCUACACUGUUAAACUUGUAAACGACUCACUACGGCCAUUGAAAUUUGUUGAUUUUGAGCCCAUUCGAUUACUAGGCAAAUAAUAUCGAAAAAUAAUAAAAUUUAUUUUCUAGAUACUCCAAAUACUCUAGAUCAAGUUUAAUAGAGCCGAUCGACGAUUCGAAAGUCGCAACAUCGAAAACGAGCUGGAAACACGGAAGGCUCCGUGCUUCCAAUAGCAUAGUAGCCUCACUCAUAUAUAUAUAUAGGGUCCGGCUACUAUACUAUUAUGAGUACGAUCGCUCUCGUACUCAUAAGUUGUUUUCGAUGAUAGAGUUUCUGAAUCGACGAUCCACACCGUUAAACAUUAUUUACAGCAUUUAAAACUUCUAGAAAUCAAAUUUUAUAAUUUUUCGACAUCAUUUACCUUACGAUCAAGAGGUCACAAAUUUGACAAAUUUUAACGGCCGGUAUGGGAUACUUGCUAGUUUAACGGUGUAAAAGAAUCGGAAUUUGUUGAAUUUUUGAUAGAAAAUUCUAUUCACUACAUAUAUAAAGAUCAAUAACUCCGAUCUUGAAUUGAAGGAUCCGAUCAUCCUUUUUUAGGAUGUCGUUCGAUUUUGACCGGUCAUUUUAUGCCGACUUG
rnacentral:lncRNA from 1 species